rnacentral:lncRNA from 1 species
CGGGCCCUUACGAGAAAUGUAACGCCUAUUUCUCAUUUUACCCUUUCCAGGGCGAAUCCCCUGGCUGUCCUUCGCCUUCUCAGCGUCAGCAUAUGCACCGAUCUGCUUCAGAACUUUAAGAGCAGCUGAUGUUUUCUCAACACAUUCGGCGGAAUCACUGACGACCAGGGGCAUUUCCGGAACAGUCUCGAUCUUGUGACCACGGGCCAUCACAAGUGAGGGGACAGCGGAGGCGGCAAUGGCGGAAACGAUGGCGUAUCGCUUCUGAUUGACGUUGAUCUUACGGUGCCAUCGGCGCCAGAUCUUUGUGGGAGCGAACAUGCGACCACCGCGACACAUGUUACCGAAGGCUCCCUGGCCGGCACGGUGGGUACCGCCUCCGGGAACUCGGGGGAUACGGGAGACGGCGCGACCGGUACCCCAUGAUUCGGCGGAGGUCUGGUGCCCUGCCUUCUUGGAAACGGCGUAAGGCUGGCGGCUGUUCUUGGAGAUGUUAGAGUGAACGAAGCCCACGAUGUCGGGUCGGAUAGAGGCCUUCAUGACGUCGGGCAAGGGGACGGUGGAGCUUGCGUCGGUGGCCAUGUCACCUUCCAAAGACUGGACGGUGACAAGAGGACGGGCAGCGGCGGCCAUUGGUUUUGGUUUGUGUGUGUUUUUUUCUGUUGGGGGAUAUAUGGGGAAGGGGGCAGAGCCGCAGCGUUAAGUUUGCUAGGGUUUUAUUGAAGCCGAGACUGGAGUGUGUGUGAGAUGAAAAAUAAAGUGAGAGUGAUUAGGGUUUUUUAGGUUUUUGGAUGUGUUUGGUUAUACGUUUCUGAUACCCCUACGUGAUAGAUGUGAGGUUAUUCCUAUCCUAGUUUUGUCAAAUGUCAUAAUGAUAAUUGAUCCCAUGAGGUGAAAAAAUGAUAUCGGUCCCGAUUUUCAAUUGGCCCAAAUCGGCUGAAUUGCUUUAGAAGUGUGAAAGUCAUUUGUUUAUUUAGUGGUGCCAUUAGCAUCACUCCCUGAUGAUGACUUGAUAAUAGUAAGUGCAUAUUUUAAAAAUAAUUGUCAAAUUGUAUUUAUUUUUUAUAAUUGUAUUGUUAUUAUGAAACAAUUUCAACAUAACCGGAUUCUCUCCUUAAUUCUUAAAAUAACUUUUAUUUGUCUUUUUCUUUUCAAUAGAAACCUGUCAGCUAAUCUCUUUAAUUUCAACCCUUUUUUUGUUCUCCUUCUCCACUUCUAGAAGUACCCUUCUUCACCAAAACUAAACAUACAAGAUUGGUAAAGCACUACGCUAAAUAAUUUAAAGUAGAAAUGCAAGCUUAGAGAGACCAAUAAGAAUUGGCUCUACAUGAAGUUGAAUGGUGGAAUGAUUUGGGAAGUGAAGAAGUAGACGACAAAGAAAACGAUAUGGAAGAUUAGCUAGCUAGUAAUAGCCAAAAGUCAAAGUAGUCAGUCUUUAUUAGAGUCAUGUUUUACAGAUGCCCUUCUUUUACUCAUUACCUAACAAGAAAAAAACUGUGAAGGUAUCUUUUUCUUUUUGUCUUUUUAUUACAGAUAGUGAGUCAGCUUAAACAAUAGUAGACAGUCACUAUUUACCGACACUGAGUCAUUACAAAGUGAUAGUAGCCAGUUAGUCUUUUGACUUUUCACCUUAUUAAUUAAUCGUUGGCUUUUUGCCGCAUGUAAAGUAUAAUUUUAAAGUCUUGUCCUUUGUACAUAGAGUCAUAAAUUGUAUCAAAAAUUGUAUCGAGUCCUUAGUUGUAUAUAUAGACCUCUUGAGUAAAGAAGGUCAAGGGUAAGAGAGAAGGAAAAUAAAAAGAGAGAUGAGCAAGAGAAACAAACCAAUACUCUGUACUCAAGAAACAAAAGAAAUAAAAAAAGUUUCUUAUUCAUAAAAACUUAGCAAUCUUUUAGACACCAACUAGCAAGCUCUUAUCAAAUAAGUGGAUUUAAUUUCUUUAGUUUUACUUAUUUAACUUUCGGGUUUAGAAGUCUCACCUAGUUAAUAGAAAUAUAAAUUAUAUUUAAAGCAUUAACAAAAGGUUGUCCUUAUUAUUAUUCAAUGGAAAAUAGUUUGGAGGAAAGUUUUUGAGAAAUGUGUUUUUUUUUUUUUUACAAAAAUAAUAAGAACUUAGCAGAGGUUUCUACUGAUUUUUUAAAAGCUUUUUUUUAAACAUGGUCUCCGUUGGCCCAUUUAGCUGUUAAUGUGUUGAGAAGACUUUUUAGCUGUGAUUCAAGAGUUUAAAAGUAUUUUUAACUAGCAUGUUUUCAGAUCAGUUUACUAAACUUUAAAAAGUCAAUUUUUGCCAAGGAAAGUUUCACAGUUUUCACAAAACAUUUGGGAAUUCACUAUAUAUAAGUGGAAAAUUGGCGACAUAAUUUGAUGGUUAACCCGAAUAGGAACUAUAUCAGUCUGCACUACCGGUCUAACAAGCCACGUAUAAGUUUUCCCCUAACUCUACCUUUUUCUUUUGUGUUCUUUAGUAUAAGAGCGCCUUUUUUAUUCUUGUUUUAAGUAUUUUUAUAUAAGUAGUUACAAGGCAGACUUAGUUAACUUUAUGAUGUAUUUUCCAAAUUGGCUAGAUUUGACAAAAAUCUUGAAAAAUUCUAUAAAAGUCCAUUCGUUAUUUUAGAAAAAGAUUUUGCUGCUUGGAUAGAAAAUAACCCUUGCAUAGAAAUUUUAAAACGUGCUUUAGAAAUUGUAAAAACUAAAGUAGCAAUAAUUAGUAUUUACAAUUAGACAAUUUAUUAGAAGAAAGAUUAGGAAAUUUAAAACUUCCAAUAGACUACACAUCUCCUUUAGCUCCUAAAAUAGAAAGAAAAAUAAGUUUUAAAUAUUAUUAUUUUGCAAAUUUGUCUUUAUUUGACUUUAGAAAGUUUAAUUUACGAUAUUAUAAUAUUAACAAGUAGAUAAAAUUAUUAGACAAGUAUGAGAAUCUAGCAUUAAAAAUCAGAAAUAGAUUAGAAGAUUUAAAAAAUUAGUUUAUGAAUUUUCAAAAAUUAGAGUUUUAGAUUUAGAAAUUAGCCAUCCUAGAAAACAAAAAUUAAAUUUGACAAAAAUAAUCAAAAUUAGUUGUAAUAUCGAGCACUUCGAAAAAAAAUUUAAACAUAUUCCACACACUAGUAGAUAUAUUAAUUAAUUUCACAGUAGAUCUAUUAAUUAAUUUAGGACAAUACCUAUAAGUCAAUAUAGAAAAGCUAAAAGAAAUAGUACUUGGACUAAGAAAAUUCUUCAAAACUAGCAAUAUUAAUACGUUAAGAAGAAAUUUAGAUUAUAUUAAAGAAUUAUUACUCGAUUUUAGUAGCCAAAUUAGAAGAUUCCCUAACAAGAAAGAAAUAAUAGAAUUAAUCCAUUUAUUAGACAUUAAAACACAUAAUCUAGUAGAAUUAGAAAUUAAAAAAACCUUAUAGAAACUUCAAAAGUUGAAAUAGAAAAUAUUAACAAAAUUAAUAGUCAGUGAAUGAAUUCAAAAAGGCAAUAAAUAUAAUCUUUAGUAGAAUUAAAACAUGAAACACUACAUAUUAAUCUAGUAGGUUAUAGCUUUAAAGAAUUUAGUCAAGAAAGUAAUGUUAUUUAGCAAGCAUAAGCAAAUACUAUUAUUAAAUUAUUAGUCAAAGUUAGUAAUAAAUUAGAAAACCUAGAUAAUAGACUUAUUAAAUCAAAAAGUAGCUUUUAAGCCUUUAGAAAAAGUAAAGAAUCCAUAUCAAAUUUAGAACUCAACAACUCACUAGACAAUUUAGAUAAAGAACUAGACAUGUUGACUAAUAGAGUAUAAAAGUUAAAUUUAAGCAGGCCAAUUUUAGUACCUGGAAAAGUAGACACAAAGUAAUAUUAAAAAGUAAUGGACUUAAUAAGAAAUAGUAGAAUAAAUAUAAAUAUGGCAGAAUUAUAAAAAGAACUAGAGACACAAUAGAUGAAUAGGAUUUAGACAAAUUAUUAGAAAGAUGUUUUGAACAAAUUAGAAAGAAAAGAUUAUGUAAUGAAGCUUUAAUGUCAAAAAUAAAUAAUAGUUUAUAUAUCUACGCAGAUGAAACUAAAUUAUUAGUAGUAAAUAGAAGAGAAUAAUUAACUUUAAUUAGUCCAAUAGGAAGAGCUUAUCUUAAGAAAAAAAUUACACAUAUAUACAUAUGGGAAGAACAGUAAUAGGAAUCCUUAGUCAAGUUAUAGAAGGUUUAGACACUAAAGCUCGUUUAUAUUUAUGUGACAGUAGAUUUUAUGAACAUGAAUAAACUUAAAUAGCAAGUGCAGAAGCAUACUUAAAAAAUAAAGUAACAAUACUAGGUUGUAUACCUAAUAUAGACAUGGAUAUAAAUGAAUUUUGUGAACAUAUUAAAUUAAGUGUGCAAACUAAAAGAUAUAAAAUAAAUGCAGAAUAUAAAAAUCUUAGAAUGAAAACAUUUUUUCUAGGAAAAUUAUAUAAUAAAUAUUAUAAAAAUUUUACUUUUGAAAGUAAAAAUAUAGUAAAUUGUUUUAAAAGUCAAUAUGUAGAAAUGAUAGUACCCAAGAAACUAAGUAGUAGUAAAUUAAAUGGAUUACAAUGGAUAUUACCUAAAUUAGAACAAGAUAAUAUGUUAAAAGUACCAGAAACUAACUAUAUAUAUAAAUAGACAAAACCAAGUGACAUAGAGAUUUAGUAAUUAUAGACAAAGAAGUAAUCCAGAAUUACAAGAAAACGAACAAGAAAUAGAAAUUAAUAUGGUUAUAAUAGAAAAUUUAAAUAUAUAUAUAUAUAAGCAUAAAAUGUUACUUAAUAAAAUAGUAAAAAUUAUAGAUUUAAUAUUUAAUGAUCCUAAAAAAUAUUUAGAUGAGGAAUUAUUUGAAGAAUUAUGUAAUAAUGAUAAAUUAGCAGAUGAUGACAUGGACAACAAACUUAUAAAAGAUUUAGAUUUUAAGAAUUUAACCAUAGAUGAAAUAUAUUAUUUAGAACAAGUAAAUGAAAUAUUAGUAGGAGAAGAAGAUGGAAAGCCAGAAUUAGGUGAAAGUAGUAAUAGACCUAUAUUAGAACAAAUAGUAGAACUAUCGAAUGUUGAAAGUUGCUUAAAUAAAUAAGGAAUUCCAUAAAGUAAUGAAAAAUACACAGAAUCAGAAAGAGUAUUUAAAGCUAAAACAAAAUUAGAAAUUUGGAAAACAAUGCCAUAAGCUAGACAUUUAUUAGUAUUAGCAUUAAAAGGACAUAGACCUAGUGAAUGAAAACAAGUAUUUAGCCAGUGAAAAGGUAAUUUACUUAGACAUUCUAUGGAAGCAUUAGCAGUAAUAGUAUACCCAACUUAUAGAUUAAUAUAUUUAGAAAAUACCUUAGAAAGUAGAAAAAAAAAUAAAUAUAUUUAGGAUGGAGAGAAUGGAUGAAGAAAAAUAAAAUAGAAGAAUUAGACAAUUUUGAUAUAAAUAUUACAAUAGUUAAUUUUAUAGAUUUAAUGAAAAAAUUAAUAUUAGGAGUAGAUGAAAAAGACAAUGUAAUUAAAUAAAUUAAAGCAAUUAGAAAUCUAGAACAAUUAAAAAUUUGUAAUUUAAGAUAUUUUGAUAAAUAUGCCAAUUAUUUUUAUAAAUAUUGGAGUGAAAUAGGAAGACCUUUCAAUGAGGAUUUAUUAUUAAAAUCUGUAGAUAAAUUACUAGGAAAAAUAGGAGAAAAAUUACAUAAUAAAAUAAUUAAUUGGUUUAAAACUAAAAGAACACAAGGAAUAAAUUAUUAUGCAACAUUAUUACCGCUAAUAAAAUAUGUUAGAGGUAGAAUUAGAGAAUGUUGUGAAUAAGAAAUCAUAGACAUCAAGUAAAACUACAAUUUAAAAAAAUGUGUAUAGACAUGUCCUAAGUUCCAACCUUAGAGCCGUAAUUAUCCUAGUUAUUUUAGACACAAGAAACAUAAGAAGUAUAGGAAACGUUAUAAUCAAAAUAAGCAACCAUAUAGGUACAAUAAUAGAAAGUUCUAGAAAAAUAAAUUCUUUAAAUAUAAUAUUAAUAAACAAAAAGUUAGAAAAGCGUUUAAAAAGGAAAAUGAAUUUAUAAAAGAAAUAAAGCUUGUAAAUGUUUUUUAUAUGGUAAAGAAGAACAUAUUAAAUCACAUUACCCUGAAAUAAAAAAAAAAGGUCAAUCAAUCAGAAAUAGACAGUUAUAAUGUAAAAGUAUAUAUUUUAUACAUAGAAGUAAUUCUUAAUAUAGAUGAAUUAUCUGAUUAUGAUAAUAUAUGUAUUAUUAAUAGUAGUGAAUCAGAAACUAGUAAUUGUUCAAGUUUAGAAUCAACUGAAAAAUAGAAUCAGAUUUAGAAAUUAAUGUUUUAGAAACAUACACAUCAUUUUUUGGUAAAAACUGUACAAAUUGUAAUUAAAAUUUUGAACUAGGAUAUAGAGAUAAAAACACAGGAAAAUUCUUUUGUAAUAAUUGUAAAGAUAAACAACAAGAAGAUAAAACAACAGAAAUAAAUAGAGCAAGAAGUGAACUAAUAAAUAUAUAUGUAGAAUUAUUAUUUAAAAAAAUUAUACUAAAGCAAUUAUAGACACAUGUGCAAAUAAAUGUGUCAUAAAUGAUAGUUUAGUAACAAAAGAGAAUAGGAAUAAGUUAAGAAAUCUAGUAAAUAUUAGACAGUUUAAUGGUGAACUAAUGCAAAUAUCAGAAUGUAUAAAUAAUAUACCUAUAAGAAUAAAUGGAGAAACACAUAUUUUACCGCAAAUAUUUGUUUCGAAUCAGAAAGUAAGAUAUAAAUUGAUUUUAGGACUAAACUUUAUAUUAUGAAAUAAUGGCAGUAUAUUAAUAGCUCCAAAUGGAGUAAAUUUCUUUAAAAAAUCAACAUUUAUUCAACCAAAAUAUGAAAAACACAUUUUGUCGUACAAAAAGAAUAUUUUUAUGCUAGAAAAAAAUGUCGAUAUAAAAUUCGUUAAUUCUUUAUUAGAAGAAGAAAAGGUAGAAAAUACUAAAGAGUUAAAAGACAGUAGUAAGUUAGAAUUAGAAAAUGUCAUGCAUAAAGUCAAAAUUUUAGAUGAUGAAGAAAUAGAAAAGUACUUAGAAGAUGCAAUGAGUGUAGAAAAAGAAUUAGAAUGUUUAGAAUGUGAAAAAUAGCCUGAAGAAAUUAGAAAAAAGUAGAAGAAUUGGAAAUAAUAGGCAUCAAAUCAAUUAGAAAAGGUAAUGAAAAAGUAUAUAAAUUAGAAAUUAUUAAUCCAGAUAUAAAAAUAUAAACACAAGAUCUAACUUAUAGCCUAUAAGAUAUAAAUGAAUUUAAAAUGCAUAUAAACGAAUUGUUAGAAUUAAAAGUCAUUAUAAAAAAUACAAGUAGACAUAGAAGUCCAGUAUUUAUUAUAAAUAAUCAUAGUGAACAAAAAAGAGAUAAGAGUAGGAUGGUAAUUAAUUAUAAAAGAUUAAACGGUAAUACUUUUGACAAUAGUUGUAAAAUAUCUAAUAAAGAUGAACUAGUAAACUAUAUACAAAAUGGUAGAUAUUUUUCUAAGUAUGAUUUGUUGGCAAAUAUGACUCCAUGAGGAAUCUAUUCAAUGGACAGCUUUUAGUUGUUGAAAAAUAUAUUUUGAAUGGCUAGUAAUACCCUUUAGAUUAAAUAAUGCGCCACUAGUUUUUCAAACCAGGAUAGAUAAAAUAUUAAAAUCUUUUUUAAAAUCUUGUAUGUUUAUAUAGAUGAUAUUCUUGUUUUUAGUCAUAAUAAGUUCAUGCAUAUAACUCACUUGCAUAAAAUUUUACAUUGUUUUAAAAAUAGCAAUAUAAUAAUUUCUAAAAAGAAAAUUGAACUAUUAAAACAAAAAAAAAAUAGAUUUUUUAGGACUAAGAAUAAAGUUAGUAAAAUAUUAGAAUUUUCAGAUAAAAUAAAAGAUACUAAAGUACUACAACAUUUCUUAGGAUUAUUAAAUUACAGUAGAAAAUUUAUACCAAAUCUUGGUUCAAUAUUAAGGCCUCUAUAUGAUAAGUUAAGUAAAAAUGGACAAAAAUAAUUUAGUAGUGAAGACAUAAAACUAAUACAAAAACCUAAAGGAAUAGUUUAGAAUCUUAAGCCAUUAGCAUUACCUAUAGACAAUUAUUACAAAAUUCUACAAACUGAUGAAAGUAGUUUAGGUUGGGCAGGAAUAUUAAUACAAAAACCGAACAAAGGUAGCUCAAAAGAGAAAGAAGAAAUAGAAAGUAGAAAAUUCUUCUGUACUUUUUUAUAAAAUUCUAUAAUAUUAUUACAAUAUGUUCUUAUUAUAAUGUGUCAUUUUGUAUAUACAAAUGAAAUUAGUUUAAAGAAAUUGUUAUUUCUAGAAUUUCUAAUUUUGCACUAGAUUUUCUACUUUCUAUUUCUAUAAAUUUUCCACUACUAUACAUUGCUAUUUCUUCUUUCUCUUUUGAGCUACCUUUGUUAUGUUUUUAUAUUAAUAUCCCUGGCCAACCUAAACUAGUUGCAUCAGUUUGCAUAAUUUUAUAAUAAUUGUCUAUGAGCAAUGCUAAUGGCUUAGGAUUCCUAACUAUUCCUUUAAGUUUGUAUUAAUUUUAUGCCUUCACUAUUAAAUUUUUUUUGACCAUUUUUACUUAAUUUAUAAUAGAGAUCUUAUUAAUGUACUAAGGUUUGGUAUAAAUUUUCUAUUGUAAUUUAAUAAUCCUAAUAAAUUUUAUAACUUUUUAGUAUCUUCUAUUUUAUCUAGAAAUUCUAAUAUUUUACUAACUAUAUGUGGUUGUAAAUCUAUGUUUCUCUAUCUAUUUUUAGUCCUAAAAGUCUAUUUUUUUGUUUUAAUAGUUCAAUUUUCUUUUUAGAAAUUACUAUAUUAAUUUUCUUAAAACAAUCUAGACUUUUAUGUAAGUGAGUUAUAUACAUGAACUUUUUGUGACUAAAAACAAGAAUAUUAUCUAUAUAAACUAUACAAAAUUUUGAAAAAGGAUAUUAAUAUUUUAUCCAUGCUGACUUGAAAAACUUGUGGUGCAUUUUUUAAUCCAAAAAGCAUUAUUAACCAUUCAAAAUAGGGGUGGGCAUAUUUUAACCGAACCGAUCCAAACCGACCAUUUGGAUCGGUUUGGAUCGGUUUCAUUAGUAAAAAAACUGGUUUCGGUUUAUUGGAUUGCAAACCGACAUCACUCGGUUUGGAUUUCGGUUUGGAAGGAUUCCAAACCGAUUCAAACCGAUCUAAUCCAGAAAUAUUAUAUAAUUACAUUAUAUUCUAAGUUAAGAAAUCUAACUAAUUAUAUUUAUCAUUUUAUGCAGAUUUUGACAAAUCAAAAGUAAUUGGGCCAUAAGUUUUGACGGACAAGAUGCACAAUAUUUUAAUUGUCAAAUGUUAUUCAAGUUUAUUUUAAUUUUGUGAGUUUGUUUUGAAUGAACAGGUUAAGAACUUCUUUAUUAGGAUGUAUUAUGCUGUAAACUUGUAUGGAUGUAUCUUUGAAUUGUUAUGUAGAUAUCAAAGUAGAUAUGAAUAAUAUAAAAAAAAUGUAUCAAUUUGGAUUACGGACACAAAAAAAUAACAAAUAAUUUAGGUAAAAUAAUAUAAAAGAAGUGGGCUUUUAGCUAAUAAGCUCAAACUGAGGAUCCGAACCGAUCUAAACCGACUGGGUCGGUUUGGAUCAGUUCGGUUUGAAAAAAAUUUAGGUUGAUAUCGGUUUGAAAAUAUUUCAAACCGAUAAGUUUGGAUUGGUUUGAGAAUAUGUCUCAAACCAAUCCAAACCGAAUUUGCCCACCCCUAAUUCAAAAUGUCUUUUUGAACAGCUAAAAGUUGUCCAUUAAAUAAAUUCUUCAUAGAGUCAUAUUUGCCAAAAACUACUUUUGCAAUCAAAAUUAGAAAAAUAUCUAGCAUUUUGUAUACAAUUUACUAGUUCAUCUUUAUUAGGUAUUUUAUAACUAUUGUCUAAAGUAUGGUCAUUUAAUCUUUUAUAUUUAAUUACCAUCCUACUCUUACCUCUCUUUUGUUCACUAUGACUAUUUACAAUAAAUGACCAUACUUAUAAUUUUGCUAAUGACUUUUAUUUCUAACAAUUCAUUUAUAUGCUUUUUAAUUCAUUUCUAUCUUCUAAACUAUGAUCUUGUGUUUAUAUUGUUAUAUCUGAAUUAGUAAUUACCAAUUUAUAUACUUCUUUAUUGUCCUUUCUAAUUGGGUUGUUGCUAUUAUUUUUAAUUUUUCUAAUUCUUGUACUUUUUUUUCUAAUUUCUUCAAGCCAUUUUUCACAUUCUAAACAUUGUAUUUCUUUUUCUACACUCAUUACAUCUUCUAAGUACUUGUCUAUUUCUAAUUUUUGCUUUAUGCAUGCCAUUUUCUGAUUCUAACUUACUAUUGUCUUCUAACUCUUUUGUAUUUUCUCCCUUUUCUUAUUCUAAUAAAGAAUUAAAGAAUUCUAUAUCUACAUCUUUUUCUAGGAUAAAAGUCUUCUUUUCAUAAGUAAAAUGUGUGUUUCAUAUUUUGGUUGAAUAAGUGUUGAUUUUUUAAAAGAAAUUUACUCAAUUUACAUUUAUUAGUAUACUAUCAUUAUUUCCUAAUAUAAAGUUUAAUUCUAAAAUAAAUUUAUAUCUUACUUUUUGAUUCGAAAUAAAUGUUUGCGGUAAAAUAUGUGUUUUCCAUUUAUUCUUAUAGGUAUAUUAUUUAUACAUUUUGUUAUUUGCAUUAGUUCACCAUUAAACUUUCUUAUAUUUAUUGGAUUUCUUAACUUAUUCCUAUUCUCUUUAGGUACUAAACUAUCAUGUAUGACGCAUUUAUUUGCACUUGUGUCUAUUAUUACUUUAGUAGAAAUUGUUUCUUUUUUAAAUAAUAAUUUUACAUCUACAUUUAUUAGUUCACUUCCUACUCUAUUUAUUUCUAUUGUUUUAUCUUUUUACUAUUUAUCUAACAAGUAUUACAAAAAGAAUUUUCCUUUGUUUGUAUCUCUAUAUCCUAGUUCAAAAUUUUUAUUAUAAUAUGUAUAGUUUUUAACAAAAAAAUGAUGUGUAUGUUUCUAAAACAUUAAUUUCUAAAUCUGAUUUUGUUUCUUAACUAUUACUAGUUUCUAAUUCACUACGACUAAUAAUACAUAUACUAUCAUUAUCCAAUAGUUAAUAUAUAUUAAGAAUUUCUUUUAUGCAUAAAAUCUAUAUUUCUAUAUUAUAACUAUCUAUUUCUAAUUGAUUAACUUUUUUUUUUUUAAUUUCAGAGCAAUGUGGUUUAAUAUAUCCUUCUUUACCACUUAAAAAAAUUUACAAGCUUUAUUUCUUUUAUGGAUUCAUUUUCCCCUUUUAAAUACUUUUCUAACUUUUUGUUUAAUAUUAUUAUAUUUGAAGAAUUUUUUUUUAUAAAAUUUUCUAUUAUUUUGCCAAUAUGGUUGCUUAUUUUGAUUGUAACGUUUCCUAUGCUUCUUAUGUUUCUUGUGUCUAAAAUAACUAGGAUAAUUACAGUCUAAGGUUGGAACUUCGAACAUAUCUAUACACAUUUUCCUAAAUUGUACUUUUACUUGAUGUCUAUGCUUUUCUUCUUCACAAUACUCUCUAAUUCUACCUCUAUCGUAUUCUAUUAUUGGUAAUAAUGUUGCAUAAUAAUUUAUUUCUUGUGUUCAUUUAGUUUUAAACCAAUUAUCACUUCAUUAUGUAAUUCUUCUCCUAUCUUUCUUGGUAAUUUAUCUACAAAUUUUAAUUAUAAAUCCUAAUUGAAAGGUCUUCCUAUUUCACUCCAAUAUUUAUAAUAAUAAUUAGCGUAUUUAUCAAAAUAUUUUAAAUCACAAGUUUUUAAUUGUUUAACUACAUCGUCUUCUUCAUCUGUUCCUAAUAUUAAUUUUUUCAUCAAAUCAAUAAAACUAAUUACUGUAAUAUUUAUAUCAAAAUUGUCUAAUUCUUCUGUUUUAUUUUUCUUCAUCCAUUCUUUCCAUCAUAAAUACAUUUGUUUUUCUCUAUUUCCAAAGGUACUUUCUAAACAUAUUAAUUUAAAAUUCGAAUCUACUAUUAUUACUAAUGCUUCCAUAGAAUGUCUAAGUAAAUUACCUUCCCACCGGUUAAAUACUUGUUUCUAUUCACUAGGUUGGUGUCCUUCUGAUUCUAAUACUAAUAAAUCUCUAGCAUGCGUCGUUGUUUUCCAACUUUCUAAUUUUAUUUUAACUUUAAAUAUUCUUUCUGAUUAUGUGUAAUUUUCAUUACUUUUUGGGAUUCCUUAUUUAUUUAAAUAACUUUCUACAUUUAAUGGUCCUACUAUUGAUCUAAUAUAGGUCUAUUACUACUUUUACCUGGUCUUGGCUUUUCAUCUUCUUCUUCUACUAAUAUUUCAUUUACUUGUUCUAAAUAAUAUAUUUCAUAUAUUUCUAAAUUCUUAAAAUCUAAAUCUUUUAUAAGUUUGUUGUCCAUGUCAUCAUCUGCUAAUGGAUCAUUAUUACAUAAUUCUUCAAAUAAUCACUCAUCUAAAUUUUUUUAGGAUCAUUAAAUAUUAAGUCUAUAAUCUUAUCUCUAUUAUUAAGUAACAUUUUAUGUUUAUCUAUAUUUAAAAUUUUAUAUUUAGCCAUAUUAAUUUCUAUUUCUUGUUCGUUUUCUUAUAAUUCUGGAUUACCUCUUUAUCUAUAAUUACUAAAUCUUUGUGUAACUUGAUUUUGUCUAUUUAUAUAUAUAGCUAGUUUCUAGUACUUCUAACAUAUUAUCUUGUUAUAAUUUAGGUAAUAUCCAUUCUAAUCCAUUUAAUUCACUACUACUUAGUUUUUUAGAUACUAUCAUUUCUACAUAUUGACUUUUAAAACAAUCUACUAUAUUUUUACUUUCAAAUCUAAAUUUUUUAUGAUAUUUAUUAUAUAAUUUUCCUGGAAUUUUUUUAUUUUAAGAUUUUUAUAUUCUACCUUCAUUUUAUAUCCUUUAGUUUGUACACUUAAUUUAAUAUGUUCACAAAAUUCAUUUAUAUCUAUGUCUAUAUUAGGUAUAUAGCCUACUAUUGUUAAUUUAUUUUUUAAGUCUACUUCUGCAUUGACUAUUUGAGUUUGUUUAUGAUCAUAAAAUCUAUUAUCAUAUAAAUAUAAAUGAGCUUUAGUGUCUAAACCUUCUCUAGCUUGACUAAGGAUUCCUAUUACUAUUCUUCUCAUAUGUAUAUAUGUGUAAUUUUGUUUCUUAAGAUAAUCUCUUCCUACUGGACUAAUUAAAGUUAAUUCUUCUCUUCUAUUUACUACAAAUAAUUUAAUUUCAUCUAAAUAGAUAUAUAAACUAUUAUUUAUUUUUGACAUUAAACUUUCAUUAUAUAAUCUUUUCUUUCUAAUAAUUUAUUUGGGUCAUGUUCAUCUAUUAUGUCUUCAGUUCUUUCUAAGAUUAGUCCACUUAAAUUAACUUUUCUACUCUAUUAGUCAAUAUGCCUAGUUCUCUAUCUAAAUUGUCUAGUGAGUUGUCGAAUUCUAAAUUUGAUAAGGAUUCUUUACGUUUUCUAAAGGCUUGAAAGUUACUUUCUAAUUUAAUAAGUUUAUUGCUUAGGUCUUCUAAUUUAUUACUAACUUUGCCUAAUAAUUUAAUAAUAACCUUUGCUUGUGCUUUCUAGAUAGUAUUACUUUCUUGACUAAAUUCUUUAAAGCUAUAACCUACUGGAUUAAUAUGUGGUAUUUCACGUUUUAAUUUUGCUAAAGAUUCUAUUAAUUGCUUUUCUGAAUUCAUUCACUGAUUUUUUAUUUUAUUAAGUCUAAUUGUAUUUGUAAUUCGAUCUGUGUAAAUUUUAAAUUUUCUAUUUCAACUUUUAACAUUCCUACAAGGUUUUAAUUUCUAAUUUUAUUGAAUUACGUUUUUUUAUGUGUAAUAAUUGAAUUAAUUCUAUUAUUUCUAUCUUGGUAGGGAAUUUUCUAAUCUGAUUAUUAAAAUCGGCUAAUCAUUCUUUAAUAUAAUCUAAAUUUCUUCUUAAUGUAUUAAUAUUGCUAGUUUCAAAGGAUUUUCCUAGUCCUAGUACUAGUUCUUUUAGCUUUUCUAUAUUGACUUCUAGUUGUUGUCCUAAAUUAAUUAAAUUGAUUUUCUAAGUGUUUGAUUUACAACUAAUUUUUAUUCUUUUUGUCAAAUUUAAUAUUUGUUUUUCUAUGGCAACUAAUUUCUAAAUCUAAAUAUUCUAAUUUAUGAAAAUUCAUAAACUAAUUUUAUAAAUCUUCUAAUUUGUUUCUAAUUUUUAAAGCUAAAUUCUCAAACUUGUCUAAUAAUUUUAUCUGCUUGUUAAUAUUAUAAUAUUCUAAAUUAAACUUUCUAAAGUCAAAUACCGACAAAUUUGUAAAAGCGUAAUGUUUAAAACUUAUUUUUCUUUCUAUUUCAAGAUUUAAAGGAGAUGUGUAGUCUACUGUAAGUUUUAUACUUAUGAACCUUUCAUCUAAUAGAUUUUUAAUUGUAAAUGUUCUCUACUAAUUCUGACUACUUUAGUUUUUACAAUUUCUAAAGCACAUUCUAAAAUUUCUAUGCAAGGGCUAUUUUUUAUCCAAGCAUCAAAAUUUUUUUCUAAAACAGCGAAUGAAUUUUUAUAAAAAAUUUUCAAGAAAAUUUAACAAUCGUAGAAAUACAUUAUAAAGUCAACAAAGUCUGCCUUGUAACUGUUCAUAUAAAAAUAUUUAAAACAAGAAUAAAAGAGGUGCUCUGAUACCAAAAAAAAAAAAAGAAAAGGAAAAGCCAGGGCUAUGGGAAAACUUGUAUGUGGCUUGUUCGACCAACAAUGCAAACUAAUAUAGUUUCCAUUCGGGUUAACCAUCAGAAUAUAUGUCACUAGUUUCCCGCCUAUAUACAGUGAAUUCUCAAAAGUUUUGUGAAAUUUGCGGAAGCUGCCUUGGCAAAAACUGACUUUUCAAAGUUUAUUAAACUGAUUCUAAAAACAUGUUGGUUAAAAGUAUUUUUAAACUCCUAACUCACGCCCAAAAAUGCUUUCUCAACAAAUUAAUGGCUAAAUGGGCCAAUAGAAUCCGUGUUUAAAAAGAAGCUUUCAGAAAAUCAAUAGAAACCUCUACUAAAUGCUUAUUAUUUUUGUCAAAAGCAAAAACCCAUUUUUUAAAAACUUUUCUUCAAAAUUCUUUUCUCUUGAAUAAUAACAACAAUUGCCUUUUGUUAAUGCUUUAAAUAUAAUUUAUACUUUUCGUUAACUAGGUGGGACUUCUGAACGUGAAAGCUAAAUAAGUAAAACUAAAGAAAUAAAAUCUACAUAUUUGAUAAGAGCUUUCUAGUUGAUGUUUAAACGAUUGCUAAGUGUCUAUGAAUAAGAAGCUUUUUUAUUGCUUUUUAUUCGACAAAUUAUUAAGUGAAAAAAGAGUUACUUUAAAUCGAUUCUUACAUUUUUAUAAUUGACCUUUUCCAAAAAAUAAUAGUAAGUUCCAAGAGUUACUUAUUAUGCUAAGGGAAUGAGCUCGAGCUUCAUACAACUUAUUCUCUUUAAAUAAUGAUAGAUUUCUCCUCGUGCAUAAGUGAUAAUAGAUUUUUUAGCUUAAUGCUUGGGCUUGGUAGACCUAGAUAUAUAUAUAUAUAUAUAUAUAUAUAUAUAUAUAGAGAGAGAGAGAGAGAGAGAGAAAGAGAGAGAUUACCUUCCUAUCCUUUCCUCAUUUACAUGCUAAAUUACUUUGGACAUACUCUCUAGAACAGUUUAGUCCAUAAUGUUUGAUGUGGCAUGAUAGGCAUGGAUAUCUCUAAUGACUUCACAAACAAAUGAACAUUCCUAAUGCCCUCAAACAUCUUCUUUUAAAGGUAGGUUUUAUGUUUGUUCUUCUACUAACUCUUCUCCUUCAAUUAAUAAAAAUAAAUCUUUUGGAAAUUCAUGGAAUGAUACAUGAAUUUCACAAACAAAAAUCCAUGUAUCUUUUGUAUAUCUCUAAUAACUUCACAAACAAAUGAACAUUCCUAAUGCCCUCAAACAUCCUCUUUUAAAGGUAGGUUUUAUGUUUGUUCUUCUACUAACUCUUCUCCUUCAAUUAAUAAAAAUAAAUCUUUUGGAAAUUCAUGGAAUGAUACAUGAAUUUUUGCAAUUGGUGAUUGGUUUUCCCAUCCUAAAUCAUUGACAAGAACAAUCGAAAAGGCAGCAACAACACUAGAGGCAGUAAAAGUCAUAGGAGUAGCCUCAAAACUUCUAGCUAGCUUGUUUUUAUUAGUUGCCAUUGCAAUAAUUCACAAUCUAUUUUAAGAUUGUUAUAAAAUCACUAUGAAUAAGGGAUAUAAAUUAGUAAGUGAUAUAAGAUAGUUCAGGUUUGCAAAAAUAUACAAGUUUGGUUUCUAGGAAAGACUAAAAAGGUUAUAAACAAUAGAACCUUCUUAGAGUACUUAAGCUUACUAAUAAGCCAUUUAUGCAUAUCGCAAGUUUAGAAAAAGAAAAUUGGAAUAACAUUAAUUUAUUAUAAAUCAAGACAAUAUGUAAAUCCAAAAAAAAAAUAAUAAUAAGGCCUAUAAAGUUACAAGUCCAUAAAACAAAUUUGCCACAUUCUCAGUGGUGCUUAGGUUAUAUUGGUAUUUAUCUCUUAGGAUUCGAAUAGUCUUGAUUGCGCAACUUUACUAUUAUGUGAAUUUCAAACUACUGAUUGGACUCUAUCACAUUGAAGCUUGAAGCUAGGAGAAUUUAUUUGAGAGAGAAGAGUAAAAAUCACUUGAAUUUUGGUUUGUUUUAUAAAUGAAAUUAUAAAGCCAAUUUAUAGAAUUCAUGGAGGACAUUUUGAUUAAAAAAAUAAAAGUUCUAACUUUCAAAAUUUGAAAUAAAAUAUGUAAUGCAAGCGGAUUCAAAUACAUGAAAUAUCUGCCUAGAAUCGAUACGAAUAUUACCCACAUCCUCAAUAUAGCAAUGCAUAUUUGGAUUCAAAUUUUGAAUCCCGAGCCAAUCAAUCAUACACUCAAUUUUCUUAGGAUCUGCUGCCACACUGCGGCUGACGUAACAUGCCUUAGAUAUUCAACGGAAGAUGUAGCAAAAGAGCAUUCAAAAAACUUCACAUAAAACCUAGUGUUUUUUAAGGCAAUGCAGAACUGUAAAAAUGUGUUGAACAUGAUCUAUAAGGCAACAAUUGUAUACAAGAACAUCAUUUGAAAAAAAAGAAAAAAGGAGAAGACAAGCCGUUGAAGGUUAGGCCGCAAUACUUCAUUCAUCAAAUUUUGGAAAGUUACAGGUGCACUAGUAAGAGCAGAAUGUUGGACACCUGGCUGUUGAGGUAUUUUUUUCUAAAAGAAGUCUCUAGUAUGUGGACCAAUGUGGACCAACAUUUCAUUAACAUUAAUUCUGCCACGUUUGGAGCUAGUUGUUAGAUGUUAUGAUAGCUAAUUAUAACUAUCAUCACUUCAUCUUUGAUGGAAAUAUGAUAAUAUAAGGAGAUGAUGAAAUGGUUUUGGUCUCUGACAGCUUGUAAUAAAAAAGAAAACCAAAACUAAACCAUCAUUACUGAUUACUGAAGCUACAGAAGUAUCAAAAUCGAAAAAUAAAUAGUUGUAAAGGACACAUCAAUGGCUAGAGGUUAGGUUCUAAACCUUCCGCAUUUAAUUUUCAGAGCAUGUUAUGUAUUAUUCAGAAAUAUGCUUACAUUUGAUAUCAAAGCAAGUGUCAUGCUCUAUCUUGAUGUGUUAUGUUCUUUGUGAUAUAUGCAAAAAUUACCCGAAUUUAUUUUUGUAAACUUAAAGUUAUUUUUUUUUACAUGUUAUAGUGAUUACAAUUGUUGUAAAUCAUGAGGAAAUGAAUUCCUAAUGGUUUUAUGGUUUGAAACAUUUAAUUUGGAGUUGGUAAAUCAUAAAUAAAGUCAUAUCUGUAAAACGGGUCAUUCGGGUUAAAAUAUGAAUAGUAAGACCCGGUUGGAGGUUGAAGACGAAGUUUGAUGACAUGUCGUUUAAUAUAGAAAAUAUAUGACAUGUCAUAUUUUUAGUUGUCUAAAACGGCAAUAGGUUAUGCACACAUGACAUGUCGUUUGCUUUAAGAAUAUAUCGACUACUUGUCAUCCGAAUGUUGUAUGCGAUGACAUGUCAUCCGUUUGUUACAUAACUGAGGUUUAUUUGUGUACGAUUUGUUAUUUUCGUGUGUAAAUGUUAAACGACAUGUCAUUUGGUACCGAUUCAACCUUGUGAAUUUAAGUCUUCAUAACAUAAAUUUAGGGUAUUUUUGUAAAUACCAAUGUGACAAUGUCAUAUUACAAUUUAUAUGCAUUAUUUUGAUUUAAUUGUUGAUGCAUGCAAUUUUGAAUAUAUAAAAAUAAAAUAAAGUAAUGUCAAGUGAUCUAAUAUGAUUUUAAUUAAUUAUGGAGUGACCACAGCAUCCUUAAUUAUGUAAAAUUAUAUAUUAAGUAUUUUUAGAUCACAUAUAAUAUAAUGGCAUUAAUUGUGAUUAAACAUAUUUAAUAUAAUUUAUUUUUUCCACAGGAAUUUAUAUUAUACUUGUAUAUUUAAUUAGGAUAAAAUAUCAAACUAUUUUCUUAAUGUACCCACAGGAAUUAAGAACCGGAAUAUGGUUUGAUAGUUUUAUUAUAAAGAUAUAUGUGAAUCUACUUGAAUUAGAACUUUAGCCCACAUGCAAGUUUUAUGUCAUUUGAUUCAUAUUUUGUAACAUGAUUUACAUUGGUAAAACAUGAUAUCUCUAUAUUAGCCUAAAUUUAUAAUAUAAGCAUGUGUUUUAAUUUAAUGUAGUUGUACAACCUGCGAGUUUUUCUGAAAUCAAUUGUGAUAUUCCCAAGUUAAAUGGUGAUAAUUAUAAAGUUUGGAAUGAAAGAAUUCUUCUUCAUUUAGGGUGGAUGGAUAUUGAUUAUGCUAUUCGAAAAGACGAACCACUUAUUGAUGAUAACAACACUGAAGUCGAUAUUGCUCUUUAUGACAAAUGGGAGCAAUCUAAUCGCCUCAGUGUGAUGUUUAUAAAGACUAAAAUCUCUGCUGUUAAAGCACUUGAAAGCACCCUAAUAAUGAAAUUUUCAUCCAUGAAGGUCACCAAUGUUAGAGGUGUGCGUGAACGCAUCAUGCAGAUGAUGGAUACUGUGAUUCAGUUGAAACUUCUUGAGGUUGAUAUGUCUGAAACCUUUCUUGUGCAUUACAUAUUGAAUACACUUCCACAUCAGUAUGGGCCUUUUAAAAUUUCCUAUAACAUGCAUAAGGAUAAAUGGUCAAUUAAUGAAUUAAUGACCAUGUGUAUUCAAGAGGAAGGGAGGCUGAUAAUGGAAGUUGGUGAAGGAGCAUACACUGUAAUACAAGGAAAGUAUAAGCUUCAAGCCAAGGAGAAAGGGAAACAUAAAAUACCUCCCCAGGAAGAAAUUAAAAAACAAUCCAAGUGUUUUUUCUGCAAAAAGAAAGGACACGUGAAGAAUGAUUGUCCCAAAUUUCAGAAAUGACUUAAGAAGAAAGGUAAAUCAAUCUUUUUUGUUUGUUAUGAAUCUAAUAUGGUUGAUGUUAAUAAUAACACAUGGUGGAUUGAUUCUGGUUCUACAAUCCAUGUAACGAAUACCUUGCAGGAUUUGCAAAACCUAAGGAAGCUAGUGAGAAGUGAACAAUGCAUCUUUCUGGUAAUAAGAUGCGUUCACAUGUGGAGGCAAUCGGAACAUGCAGUUUGAUUUUGAGCAAUGGUUUUAUUUUAAUUUUGGAAAAAAACAUUUUAUGUUCCAAGUUUUUUUAAAAACUUGGUUUCAGUUUCAAAACUUGUACCACUCGGUUUUUCCUUUAAUAUUGCAAAUAAGUUUUGUAAUGUAUAUUAUAAAUUUGAACUUGUUGGGAAUGGUACAUUGUCUAAUGGUCUUUUUCGUCUUAAUUUGCAAAACAAUACCUCUUAUACUUCAAUGCAUGUCCAUGAUGGUAUUAAAUGGUGUGUUAUAAAUGAAAAAUCCUCUAUUUUGUGGCAUCGAAGACUCGGUCAUAUCUCCAUAGAAAGAAUCAAAAGAUUAAUAAAUGAUGGAGUACUUAAUACUUUGGAUUUUACUGAUUUUGAUACUUGUAUGAACUACAUAAAAGGAAAGCAGACCAACAAGAGAAAUAAAGGUGCUCAGAGGAGUUCAAAAAUAUUAGAAAUCAUACAUUUAGAUAUUUGUAGUCUAGACAUGGACUCAUAUGGUCAGAAAUACUUCAUCUCUUUUAUAGAUGAUUACUCACGUUAUAUGUAUCUCUACUUACUUAACAAUAAAAAUGAAGCAUUAGAUACUUUUAAGAUAUUUAAAGCAGAAGUAGAGAAACAGUGUAGAAAAUAAAUUAAGAUCGUGAGAACAAAUAGAAGUGGAGAAUAUUAUGGUAGAUACAUUGAGGAUGGGCAAGGGUCUGGUCCAUUUGCGAAGUUUCUUUAAUAACAAGAGAUUGUUGCCCAAUACACUAUUCUUGGUUCUCCAGACCAUAAUGGUGUAACAGAAAGAAGAAAUCAAACUUUACUGGACAUAGUGCACAAUAUGCUUAAUGACUCUAAACUUCCUAAAUCCUUAUGGACUGAAGCUCUCAAGACGGCUGUGUAUAUAUUAAAUCGAGUUCCAACUAAAUAGGUUUCUAAAACGCCAUUUGAGUUAUGGAAAGGUUGGAAAUCGAGUUUGCGACAUAUACGUGUUUGAGGAUGCUUGUCUGAAGUGAGAAUCUACAAUCCAUAAGAAAAGAAGUUGGACUCAAGGACCAUUAGUGGGUAUUUCGUUGGAUAUACUGAAAGGUCUAAAGGGUACAUAUUUUAUUGUUCAUCUAAUAGCACUAUAAUUGUGGAAUCAAGAAAUGAAAAAUUUCUUGAAAAUGACUUAAUCAGUAGGAGUGAUCGAUCUCAGACUAUUAUUUCUGAAAAAGAUAAUUCAAAUGCUCAACCUUCCACCUCAAGUGUAGAUUGAUUGUUAUUCACAAUUCUCUUCAAGUUCAAACAGGUGUUGUGCAACUAAUUGUUGAAGUUCUACAAGUUGCUGAUAAUAAUCCAGUAGAUCAAGCUACUUAGGAAUUACCUGAAACCCUUGAGUAACCAGUUGAACAACAUGCUCCUCAGGAGAAUAUUGGUCCAACAUUAAGAAUAUCUACUAGAAUAAAGAAACCAGCAAUUUCUAGUGAUUAUAAAGUGUAUCUGCAAGAAUCUGACUAUAAUAUUGGAGCAAAAAAUGAUCAUGAAUCUGUUUCACAAGCCAUGAAUUCCAAAGAAUCAUAUUUAUGGUAUGAUGCCAUGAAGGAAGAGAUGAAUUCUAUGUCAUCCAACGGAGUCUGGGAUCUUGUUGAGUUGCUUAAUGGUGUAAAAGCCAUAUAAUGUAAAUGGAUCUUUAAGACAAAGAAAGACUAAUUAGGCAACAUUGAAAUAUAUAAAGCAAGACUCGUUGCUAAAGGAUUCACUCAGAUAGAAGGAAUCGAUUACAAGGAGACUUUUUCUCCUGUAUCAAAGAAAGAUUCUUUUCGUAUCAUUAUGGCAUUAGUUGCUAAUUUUGAUUUGGAACUGCAUCAAAUAGAUGUGAAAACAACAUUUCUUAAUGGAGAUCUAGAGGAAGAGGUUUAUAUGAAACAACCAGAAGGAUUCUCCUCUAGUGAUCUUUAAGAAAUCUAUAUAUGGAUUGAAACAAGCUUCCCGUCAGUGGUAUUUAAAAUUCCAUGAUGUUAUCUCUUCAUUUGGAUUUGUAGAGAACCUUAUGGAUCAAUGUAUAUACCAGAAGGUCAGUGGGAGUAAGAUUUGUUUCCUUAUUUUAUAUGUAGACGAUAUUCUGCUUGCAUCUAACAAUAAAGGGUUGUUUUGUGAAAUAAAAUAAUUUCUCUCUCAGAAUCGACAUGAAGGAUAUGGGUGAUGCAUCUUAUGUCAUAGGCAUUAAGAUCCAUAGAGACAGAUUUCAGGGAAUUUUGAGUCUGUCUCAAGAAACUUAUAUCAACAAGGUCUUAGAGAGAUUUCAGAUGAAAAAUUGUUCACCUAGUAUAGCUCCCAUUGUGAAGGGUGACAGGUUCAAUUUGUACUAAUGCCCCAAAAAUGAUUUUGAAAGGGAACAAAUGAAAAAUAUUCCUUAUGCAUCUACUAUUGGAAGCUUGAUGUAUGCUCAAAUUUGUACAAGACCUGACAUAGCAUUUGCUUUUGGAAUCUUGGGAAGAUAUCAGAGUAAUCUAGGUUUAGACCACUGGAAAACUGUAAAGAAAGUAAUGAGGUACCUUUAAGGCACCAAGGAUUACAUGCUUAUGUAUAGACAAAUUGAUAAUUUGGAGGUCAUUGGCUACUCCGAUUUAGACUUUGCUGGCUGUGUUGAUUCACGGAAAUCAACAUCUAGAUAUAUUUUUACACUCGCCAAUAGAGCUAUAUCUUGAAGAAAUACAAAGCAAACUUUGACUGCUACUUCCACUAUGGAGACUGAGUUCGUUUCUUGUUUUGAGACUACUUUGCAUGGUGUAUGGUUGAAGAGUUUCAUAUCUGGGCUUAGAAUUGUGGAUUCAAUCUCAAUGCCAUUGAGGAUAUAUUGUGAUAAUUCAGCUACAGUUUUCAUGGCUAAAAAUAACAAAAACGGAAAUCGAAGUAAACACAUCGACAUUAAAUAUUUAGCCAUAAGGGAAUGUGUUAAAGAAAAGAAAGUGGUCAUUGAACACGUUAACACUGAAUUGAUGAUUACUAAUCCUUUAACAAAGGGCAUGCCACCACAAAAGUUUAAGGAUCAUGUAGACCGAAUGAGACUUGGUUCCAUCAUGUAAUUUUCACUGUAUAUACAAUGUAAUAUAAAUGAGACUCUUGGUUUGCGUUUAUUGUGAUGUUUUCUCAUCUUUAUGUGCACAUUUAUUUAUAUUGAGAAAAUAUCAAUUUUAUUGGAUCAAGAAUAAACAUGGGUUUAUUCAUUAAGUUAAGUUAUCAUACGUGGCUGGAUUUAAGAAAAAUGAUGCAUUGUAAUACAUGGAAGAUAAUACUCGUUCUUAGAGGACCUAUCGCUAUGAUUCAUGUAUUAUAUUUCUUAAGUCUAAUUAAUUGAUAUCAAAUCAAGUGAAAUGUUUGGACCAAGUGGGAGAAUGUUGGACACCUGGCUGUUGAGGUGUUUUUUCUAAAAGAAGUCUCUAGUAUGUGGAUCAAUGUGGACCAACAUUUCAUUGACAUUAAUUCUGCUACGUUUAGAGUUAGUUGUUAGAUGUUAUGAUAGCUAAUUAUAACUACCAUCACUUCAUCUUCAAUGGAAAGAUGAUAAUAUAAAGAGAUGGUGAAAUGGUUUUGGUCCCUAAUAGCUUGCAAUAAAAAAGAAAACAAAAACUACACCAUCAUUACUGAUUACUGAAACUACAUAAGUAUCAAAAUCGGAAAGCAAAUAGUUGUAAAGGACACAUCAAUGGCAAGAGGUUAGGUUCUAAAACUUCCGCAUUUAAUUUUCAGAGCAUGUUAUAUAUUAUUCAGACGUAUGCUUACAAAGAAGGCAUUACUAAGAAUUCAUAAUGGCCAUCAUGAUUCAUUAGUGCGGAAAGCUGUUUUAGCAAUAUCAGUAUCAUGUGCAUGAGAUUGGUGAUAACCUGAUCGAAGAUCCAAUUUUAUGAAAAGAGUAUCACCAUGCAAUUCAUCCGAGAGCUCAUCAAUAGCCAGAAUUGGAAACCUAUCUUUUAUAGUAAUUUUGUAUAAGAGCUCUGUAAUCAAAGUACAUACGCCACGAACCAUCUUUUUUAUUAACCAACAAUGCAGGAUAUGAAUAAAGGCUGAUACUUAGCCUAAUUAAUCCAGCAGCUAGCAUUUCUUGCACCAUUUUUUUCAAUCUCAUUCUUCUGGAAAUGUGGAUAUAACCUGUAAGGAUGAACAUUUACCGGUGAGCUGCCUGGAACUAAUACAUGUGGUGGUCACGAGAACGAUGAGGAGAAAGACUGGGUGGUUCCUUAAAUAUGCUAAAGAGCCAUGACCUGCCGACUAAAUCUAUUUCCGGUCCCAAUUAUAUUUGCAUAGUAAGUUUAGAUAAAUCCCAUGUGAUAGCACCCAAAGGUUGUGGCCAGUGAUCCUCCCAACACAGUAUCACAUCCACGAACAGGGAGAAGAAAAAAAUUUGGUUAGAAAAGAAAGCGUUGAAUAUCAAGUGAAACAUUCAAAUGUUUACCAUUACCAUUGAAAAUGCCGCCAUCGGCCAUGGUGACUCUGAAUUGGUUGGUAGAAGCAACUUGACAACCACAUUGCUUAGCCAGGGAGGGAUUCAAGAAGCAGUAAGUUGACCCGGAAUCCACUAAAAUUAAUGGAUAUCCAAUAAGGGGUAUUGUAAAACAUGAAAAAUAUCCAGUGAGCGAAUUAAUGGAUAUUUCUACCUGUGGCGACUUCUCAUUCUCAGCCUCAGCACUCUAUUCCUCGUAUUCAGGUAUAUUAGCUUCCAAAAGCAAAAGUUGAAUUAUUUUUGCAGUUAUGCCCACGCUUGAAUUGCUCGUCAAAAAAUUGAGCAAGGGCCUUCAGCACACCGUUCAGCUUGUUCUUUCGCAGAAAAUCAUCGAAAUGAUAGCAAUCCUGGAGGAGCUGGUGCCAAUAAUGAAGGCGUGGAGCUAUUAGCUUGUGAUGUAGAAGCUGCUUGGGCAAGGACUACCGAGUACAGGCUUCGAAUGAUUUAAAUUUGGCGAGCAGAUUAUUUUUACCCGUUAUCGAUGCAGACUCUCCUUGAAUUUGGCUAGUUCAAAGGCUUGACGAAGAGUAUGGUCUCAACAUUUGAACUCCAACUCAUACUUCAUCACGAAGGCUAAAGAGAAAGCAACUAAUGAGAAAUAUCUCUAGUAACCCCUUGGUUCGAUUGGCAAGCCAUUUAAACUGCACCUGAUAACCUCUCACUAUUCGGUUUGUUUAAAUUUGGAGAGACGUCCCCCUGCAUCAGGCUCUUCUAAUUCACCAAACCAAGUGUACAAGGCUGUUGUGAAUUGUGCCAAUGACAAUUCUCCCAUUGUUCGCUCUAUCCAUUGGUAACAUGGAAUAGCAUCUCCAAUAAGAUGGGCAGUAGCUAAAGUCAUCAUUUGUGCUUUUGUAAUGCCCGUAACUCGUAUUGUCGUAGGUACUGCUCCGCCCGAAAACCCACCCACUUGGGUCUUCUCCAGUAAAUAAUGGAAAAUCUAUUCGUAUGGUUCGACCUUGCACCUGUACUCUUCCAACAAAAUCUGCCUGAUGUUGAAUUUGCUUCGCAGGAAGUUGACCUAAUGAAGCAGGUUCUGAUUGACCCAAGUGUCGGCAUAUAAGAUCCAACAUGGCUGGUAACCUUGCAAGUUGCUGAGCCAAAUUAUUAACCUUAUCUUCAGUUUCUUGAAUAUCCUUCAACCAGGAACGUGUGCUCUGAUACCAAAUGAUAAGUACCUUCUGAUAUUCGAAUAGAAACAAUUGUGACAGAGAGAGUUAAAGAAAGUGCAGAACAGAGGAGAAGACAGAAGUUUUUGAGAAAUUCUAAGUCAUUUAUUCACGUUGCUCGUGCCCCUUUUGUUUGCCAAUUACAAGAUAAGUAGCCAAGUAUCAUCUCCAUCUCCAUCUCAAGCAUGCCUUCAGAAGAUGUCAUAACUUUUCUUGAACUUCUAAAAUUUAUAAAUUAAAAACACACGAAGUUGUAGACAUAUAUUGUAGCAGACUAGAUUGCCUCAAAUUCCUUCCAAAAACAAGAAAAAGGAUUGCCAUCAAAUUCAGUUUCCAUUAUUUUAUUUUAGUUCAUUGAUAUUAUGGGCGAGUGUGCACCAUCACUAUUUUUAUUGUUAUUGGCUUAGAACUGUUUCUUCUUAUCACUUUUUUUUCCUUAGGAUUUAUUGGGUUUCUUCAUCUUCUUUUCUGCCGGUUAUAUCAUUUCUCUGUAGCAAUAGGAAGAGAAAACUACCCCUGCUUCAAAAUUAGCAUUCUAAACAAUAAAUCCUAAACUCCCUUAGAAAGUGUCAAUACAAAUAAUUUUUAAUUUUACCAGUUAUUAAUUAGCGUCCCUGAAUAUACAUGAAACUGCGCUCUGAAAAUAAUUGAGAUAGAAAGACGUGUCAUUGUCAAGAUCCUAACUUUCAAGAAAGGUAAAUAUCAAAACUAACAAAAGCUACGGGUUUAAGAUUAAAUGCAGCUGCGCAUUUAAAUAAUGAAACAUAAUUAGUUUUGCUAACAUUAACUAAAGCAACUUGUGCUAUCAGGAACUUGUACAUCAGCAACAGCAAGGGAGAAAAUAAGACAUCACCUCCUACGAACACCCAAAUUUCUACUUCUCCAACCCACGGCAAAAAGAAGACGUGACAAGUCCCCAUCAAUAUCUUUGAUCUCUCAGUGCCAGUUCAAAUUAGCAACAGAGAGAGACAACAUGAAACUUACGUCGGCUGUUCUGCAUAAUGUAAGGCCCUCAGUUCCCAAGUGCUCCAUGCCUGUUACUACAUGAUACAAAUAGAGAUGCGUGAGCUCUGACGUGCAAUAAGCAAUGUAUUCAAAGCUUUAGAAAGCUGCAAAUGAAGCUCAAGAAAAAUCUUUCAUGCACCUCUCUCAUUCCAGCAACUUAAGUUACAAUAGUUAAACAAUUUCUUAUUUACAUAAUUCCAGUAAAAGCAGCAAUUAUAUGAUGUUUGCUUGCUGGUUUUCCGUUACAAAAGCACAUGCCUAUUUAUAAUUUCUACUACAAAUCAUUAUGCUGCUUGCCUGCUUCUGGAGACAUUACUGAAAAGCAGGUAUGAAGUAAAAUCUCAGUUCACCCACACUCAGUGACAUUGGCAUCAGAAACGGUUCAACAGUCCCUCAUAAAGAAAGCAUUCUCUCAACACUACUGCAGUACUUCCACUAUAACUCACUUUCCAUAUCCUAGUAAGUUUUGAUGACUGCCCAGGAGAACCACCACCAACUAAUAUCAAAAGAAUAUAAUUAGCGUAGUUUCACUCAAACAGGAUAAUGUACAAGAAUUCCAAAAAAUACUUGAAUCAAAAUCGUAAUAUGUUUUUCCUUCCAAAUUACUAGCUCAAAAAAUUAACAAUGUGGAAUCAUCCUCAUCGAACACAAACAAGAUAACGUUCAAGAAUUUCAUAGACCAACCAACCCCCAAAACUACCUAAAUUCUUCUUCAAUUCUCAUCAAAUCUAAAGAAGCUCAUAUCUGAAAUAAGAGAAAUUCUCAAGUUAACAUUCUUCACAAAUUGUAAAACAAGAAAAUUUUCUGAUCUAUAUAUAUAUAUAUACACCCAUCUGUAUAAAUCAAUUGUACCAGAUUCAAGCCAGCAACAAAAAUCAAAGUUGCCAUUGCCAGUCUAAGUCAAUCAAUUUGAAUUACUCAACCUAUUAUUCAUCAUUCUCUUAUCUAUAAGAUAAACUUGCAAGUUGCAGUUCAAGGUAAUGCAAUCAGGUUCAAACGAAAGGAAUGCAAGUGAUGGCUAAAACGAAUAACUAAAAUAGCAAAAUCCCUCAGACAUAACACAUUAUACUGGAACCUUCUCAACAAUACCGACAGUAUUGAUAAUAUCAAAUUAUACUGGAAAAGUGGACCACAUGCAACUCACUUUAGAGUUUUAAUUUGUUCAGAAGGAAGAAUGAGUUACAAAUUUUCAAUAUACUAGACCAGAGUACUUGAUCAGCAACUCACUAAAAUAGCAAAAUUGCUACAGAUAGCACAUUUUACUAGAAAAGUACAUCAUGUGCAAAACUUUAGUUGUUCACAUUUCACAAGGCUAAAUAAGCUACAAUUUGCUAAUAUGCCACCUGAGAAUUCCAAUCCAUAAAUAACUUUGAACCAUCAUCCGAUCAACCAUCAUCUUCAGAGCUUCCCUCUUCACUGCUAUAAUCACUACUGUCAUCAUCUUGAUCCAGAAUAUCCAACUCAACAUGCCGAACUUGUAUGGGCUCAGGUGGUUUAUGUAAUCCCUGAGGAGGCACAGGCCGCAACUGUUGUUCCUCAAUUCUAGGCAUAGGAAGAGCAUCCAAUGGGGGCAAUGGUACCGCAUCCCCAGGCUUCCAUCCAGGUGGGGGCACAAGUGGGAAAUCUUUCGGUAACUCCACAGGCAUCCCUGGUUUCCAACCGGAUGGAACUGUAAUAUUCGGAGGAAGCAAACCAGCCAAAUCCUUAAGCGGAUUGGCAUCCACUGGCUGUAAAGGUGGUGGCUCAAUGAUAGCCUCAAUUGUCUUCUCUUUGGUUUCAACAACUUUAGGCAAACCAACAUCAAGAUCAGCAAAAGUAUACAACUGGGAAGCCCGCAUUUGCUCUUCUUGCGGAGCAGGUGGAAGUGCCCCACGAAGAGGACCCUGCCCAGCACCAAACUCUGGUGGUGCAAAAGUCGUGUAACUAAUUCUAUGAGCAUAGGAUAAAAUGUCUGAUAAAUUCAAUCGAGACUCAACUGUCGUAGAACAAGAACCACUAUCAUCAUCAUUGCCAUCACCACCCUCUGAUUUCACCCUUUUGGGGCGUCUGUAAUCCGAAUAAUCAUCAACAAGAAUAUCAAGAACCCGCUCUGCCUCCUUAAUCUUAUUAGCAAAAGCAAGAAUGGCAGAAUCCUUGGCCUUAAUUUCACGUGCAAUUUUCUGCUUAGCAUCUUGAAGAUCAAGAAUUUCUUGAAGCUCAGCAACGGCUUCGAAGAGCUGCGUCUGAAGGGAAGUAAAACAAGCUAUAAUUUCCUUAAUGGUAGACGGGGACGAGUCAAUUGGAGGCGGAGGCUGUGACUGAGCCUGGGAGGAGAGAAACGUCGGGAGCGAGCCGCGGAAAGCGGAGAUCCAAAGGGAACGAUUUGGGGAGACUUCGAAGAGUUUAGAGGCUAAUGAAGCCAUUUGAAGUAGAAGGGCUUGGGCUCUGGGGAGAGGUGGGAGAAGAGAGAGGAGGGUGGAGGAGGUGCAGGCGGUUGUACCUGUGGUGAUCGGGGCGGUUGGCGGAGUAGCGGAGCGGAGGUGGUGGUGAGUGGCGGAGGUGGGGAAUUUGGUCGGGCUAGGGUUAGGGUUAGGGUUUUGAAGAGAGGGCGAAUUAGGGUUUGUUAAACCUAACCUAGCUGGUGACUGCACUAUUUGGUGCUGCAGCAUUUUCUUUGUUUUGAUCAGAAGAAAUAAUGGGGAUUCGUAAUUGAAAAUUGAAAUUAAAUAAACUGGUAAUUUAUUGAAAUCUUAAGAACUAAUUAUGAUCAAACGUAACUGAGAAUUGAAGAAAACGACGCUGAAUUGAGAUUGUAAGAGUUACUUACAUGAAUCUCAUCGAUGGACCGGAACUUAUAAGAACUAAGAACUAAGAAGGAUGAAAUUCUGUUCCAUGGAUAUGGGAUUUGGAUAGGUUCAGUUUCUUGAAACGCCAUGUCGUGUCAGGCUGUCAGUGCGUGUUGUGACACACAUCGUAUUGUCGGUUACUUUACAAGAAAUACGCCGACAGGUCGUCUUCCCAUAAAGCCUAGACCAGAGUCCAGAAAUUUUUGUACACUUUUUUUUGGCCUCACAUAUAAGAAAUUUAUACUUGAUUAUUACUUUUUGGCCUCACAUACGAAUUCGUUUGACAUUCAAUAAUUAGAGAUCAAACGACACAUCCUUUUAAAAUCCAUUAUGUAUGCUUUGUAGAUUUCGUCCCAUUGAUUAACAUCAUAAACCUAUAUUUGUGUAGGGGUGUUCAGAAUCCAAUCCGAUCCGCUCAAUCCGUCUGAUCCGCUGAAUCCGAUCCGCAUAAAUCUGAUCCGUGGAUUAGUGGAUUGGAUAUGGAUUGAAAAUUUAAAAAUCCGCAGUCGAUGGAUUAGAUAUAGAUUUACUUCUGUAAAUCCGCAGAAAUCCGUGAAUCUGCAAAAAAAAAAAAUAUAUAUAUAUAUAUAUAAUUAAAAAAUAAUUAUAAAUUUAAUUAAAAAAAUUAUAAACGUGACAUUGCAUAGUUACUAAGCACUAUAACAUAUCUUAGUCAUUACCCAAUAAUAAUAUAAAAUAAAAAAUAAUUAAAUAAUCAAAUAUACAAAUAUAACUUGUAAAAAUUAUAAAACAAAAUAAAAGUAAAGUCACACGCACUAACAAAAGCAAAAUAACAUAACGCCAAGUCACCAACAAUUUACAAAUAAAAAACCAUAAACUUCUCCGCCGUCACACGCACUAGCAACACUCAAUACUGGUUGGAUACACUCUCGACACGGAUUUAAAGGACAUCGGCCGCGCGAUUCCGGCGAGAGCAAGUCAUCUUCUUUCCCAAGUCCAUCGAGCCACUUCACAUUCACUGGUUCCAGCUGAACAAUUUCACUAUCACAACCUUCAAGAUUGUCACUCGUACUGCUUCUCCUGGUUCCCAUCGUGGAUGGCUCCGUAAUCACCAUUUUUCGACAGGCGCAACAGCCCUGGUGAAUGAUCAGACUGUGUUUGGUUUCCGAAACUUCGCCAUUUCAAUUAAUUGUGGCUUUAUUUGAACAAUUAAUUUUGGUGUUAUAUUAACAUAUUAUUGUAACUUUAUUUGAACAAUUAAGCUUGGUGUGUUAUAUUUUGAAAUUUUGAACGUAUUAUUGUAGCUUUAUUUGAAUAAUUAGUCUCGAUGUGUUAUAUUUUGAAACUUUAAAUGUAUUAUUUUAGCUUUAUUUAAACAAUUAAUUUAUUUAAAUUUUAUUCAAUUUUAAAUUUAAUUGGUAGCAAAUUUAUUUUUAUAUUAGAUUUUUUUAUUUCAUUAGUUGGAGAGAACUAAAAAUUUUUAAUAAUGGUGGAUUGCAUAUGGAUUGAGUCAAAUUUGCAUCCGAUCCGCAGACGUAUGGAUUGGAUAUGGAUUGAGUCAAAUCUGCAUUCGAUCCGCAGAUGUAUGGAUUGGAUUUGGAUUGAAUUUUAUCAAUCUGUGGAUUGGAUUGGAUUGAAAAAUUAUAAUCCGCAAAAUCAUGGAUCAGAUAUGGAUUGAUGUCCAAUCCGUAAAAUCCGAUCCGCGAACACCCCUAUAUUUGUGUAUGCAAUCCCAAAUCCCGCUCUAAAAGUUGAGUAUUAAUUGGAUUUGUCUCAAUUCUUAAAAAAUUUUAAAGGUGGAUUUCAUGAAUUUGGUAAAUUGGUAAGUGAGACUAGCGAAUUUUUAGAAUUUGGAGAAUUGGUAUUGACUUCUAAAUUCUCUAGUAUUUUUUCUUUUGAAAUACUAAUUAAAUUUUAAUGGUUUUCUCAUUUUUCAUGCAGUGAGAUCAUUGGAAAUUUGGGGGUUUCGGUUCUAUCACUUGCAAUUUUGGAGGAUAUCCUAUUUGCGUCCUUCACUCGGCUGAUGUUUUUAGCUUGGCUGAUUUUUUUUCUUUUUUUUAAUAAUUUUAAUGUUAUCGUUAGUGACUUAAGCUGCAUUUGAGAGUGAGGCGUUGUAGCUGCUAUAAAGUAAAAGCUACAGCCAUGGAGUAUAAACUGAUGGUGUUUGGUAAAUGUGCUGUAACUUUUAAGGUAAAUGGUGUUUGGUAAAUUUUAAUAGCUGAGGAGUGGAUGAAUAUUUGUAAUAAUCAAUUUUAAAUAACAUUAUUUUUAAUUAUUAACAAAUCAAAUUAUUUUUCAUAUUUCGAAUUAUUAUAUUGAUAGACAAUUACAAUUUAUUACUUUUAGAAUUUAAAUUAAUAUUUCAUAAAUUAAAUUUAUUUUUUGCACAAGUUAUAAUAAAUAAUUUUUAAAACAAAUUAAUUUUAAAAUGAAAAUAAAUAAAUUCUAAUUUUAAAUAUUGAUUGAAGAAAUAAAUUAUACCAAAUAUGUCUAAUAAACAUCAUACAACAUAACAUAAUAAAAUUAAAAUAUAAUUAAUUACAAAAUUUGUAUAUAUAAUUCUAUUGUCAUGCCUCCAUUAAACUCGCAGCAAUGUCAUCUCUUAAGAUUAUUAUAUCUUGAGCUGUAUUAUCAAUUGUAUCAUAACGUUUUUCAUGAGAUGCAAUAUUGCUUAGAGUAUUGAUUGAAGAAAAAAACUCUUGUACAAACUUAUCUUAUACAAACUGAUGUGGCAUGAUAAAAUUGGUUGAAUUAAAUAUCUCUUGGCCCACAUGAUUUAUUUUUAUUAUUUUGUAUUUCCAUUCAACUAAUAAAUUAAUAUCAUAUUAGUUUGUACAAGAGUUUGUGCCUCUAUCAGCACCCUAUUGCUUAUAUGUUCGCUAAUAUUAUGAAUUGGCUCAUCCAUUGUUUCAUCAAAAUUAUCAUGAUUUUGUGAAUAUCUUCUAAUGCAAUUAUGUAAGGCCAUGGUAGCAAUAACUAUCUUCACCUGCUUCUUGAAUGGGUAGCUUGGCAUAUUUUGUAAAAUCUUCCAUGUGUUCUUCCAAACCCCAAAAGUACGCUUAAUAACACUUCUUAAGGAACGCUUGUAGUUGAAUGAUUCUUUAUGACCCAUUGGUUGGCUACUUUUGUGAAAUUCAGGAAGAUGAUAUCUUUCACCCUUAUAUGGUCCUAAGUAACCACAUAACUCUAGAUAUCAUGCAUCUACUAAAUAGUAUUUUUCUUCAAAAAAAGAAAAAUAUAAAAAUACAUAACACAAUCAAAUUAAUUGAAUAAGUAUAAAAAAAAAAUUAGAAACAUAAACCUGGAGAAGGGUUUGGAAACUUGAGGUCGGGAUUCGUAAUAGUUGUUUGAAAUACCCUUGCAUCAUGGGCACUACCUUCCCAACCAACCACUGCAAAUAUGAAUUGCAUAUCAAAGUUACAUAUAGCCAUUACAUUAUGACUUGGUGUCCUUUUUCUACUAAUAAAUGGAAUUUGAUCCUCCAUAGAUAUUGAGACAAGCAUAUGAAUCAUUUAUAGCACCAAUACAAUCUUGAAAGUAUCACAGCCAUAUAUAUGUUAAUCAUUUUAUAAAGUGAUUAGAUUUGUAAAAGAAAAUUAAUAAAUUAAAUUACUUUUGUCAGUUACCUUAAAGUAAGGCAUAUAUCUUGAAUAUUCAGAUAUCUCUUUGGGAGUGGUAGCAAAAUUAAGAUCCAAUGAUUUUAUCAAAUCUAUAGACAUAUGACACACAUUAUCUAAUACUUUGUCAAAAUAUCGGCUCACAGUCUCACCAAAAUGUUGGAACCAGUCCAUUGUUAACCGAUUCCUUACACUUUGUCCUAGUGUAUACAAAAACAUUGCUAAUAUCUCAGCGGCACACGUCCUUCUUGAACUCUUUAACCCAUAAUUAUCUUCUAAGUUAGUGUAUAAUUUUAAAGAUACAUCACUAUUCACUCAAAACAUGUUAAAGCACCUACUAACAUUUCUAUCAAGUAUUUCUAUUAAAUAAAUCCCUUAUCACUUUGUUCAUAAACAACUGACUAGCAAAUAACCAUAAUUUGCUCCCAGCCUGAAUGUUCGGUAAAGAAACAACCACUUUCAAUGCUUUAUAAAUUUGUUUCCCAUUUGUACCAUUUUAAGAGUUUGAAGUUGUUGUGUUCAUUUUCUCUACCCUAUCAAUAAGAUGAUCAAGCUGUUUUGAUAGUUUUGCAACACCUUAUUUUUUGUUCCCUUUUACGCCACUCUUUUACCUUUGCUUCCCUUACUAUCAUCAGACACAAUAUACUCAUCAGAGUCAACAGUGCUCUCAACAUGAAGAGAUUCAAAUGCGUUAUUACUCUCUAAAGGAAAACCAGAUGAGGGAACCCAAACAUACUCACUUGUAGCCAUAGUGUUCAUGAACAUUAAAUUUAGUUUUUUUCUCAAACUCUGGAUCAAUAUCAUUUUUCUAAAAUCUACUAAAUUGUGAAUUUUCCUUUAUUUUCUUUUCCCACUAUUCCUCACUUGCAUUAACUACCUUUAACCUAUGAUUCCACCCUAAACCAAUUUCCUUGCCAAUCAAAUUCUUCCAUAAUUUCCAAUCAGUUCUAAGAUAAUCCCAUUUGUUUUUCAUUUGAGUUCUAUUGUAAUAUAAUCCAGUUUCUUUAAUGAACUCCUUAAUCAAAUUUUCAUAUCAUUGGGAAGUCAAACAAGUCCCAAAACGAUGUUCGGCAUCCACAUUUUUAAUGCAUAAGUCACAAAAUACAUCUAAAGUCUGGGGGUUCCAGGUAGCCUUACUAGUUGAGCUAUUAGAUAUAAUUUCAUACACUUAAACCUAAAAAAAAAAGCAAUAUUUCUUUGUCAAACAACAAUACAAAAAAAUAAGAAUAUAGAAGUUGGGAAAAUUGCUACAUCUUGUUAUGGAUGUCGGAAGGAAAACCAAUUCGAUAUUAAAAAAAGGUAGAGAGUUAAAACUAGACUCUGAUCAAUGUCAACAAACUAUAUACAUACACUAUUAUUGACCCUUAUUUGUGUCAAAAAAUAGGGUGAGAGACCACUUAUGUAUUUAUCUUCAGCAAAAAUUUAACAAUCACAAGAAUAGAAAACUUCGUCCAUCAGCAUUACCAAGUUACUUUACAUGAAAUACUUUUCCAACAAACAAUAACGAUCAUAACCCAUGAAUGGAAACAAUUAUAGGCAAUUCAAUAAAGCAACUAAAGAUAAACCAAAACAAGGAAACAAAGAAAUUAAAAAAAAAUCAUCAUAAACAAGAAAAAUCAACUAGAAGCUUGCUAUUAACAAACAAUAAUGAUCUAAACAAAUUUUAAUCAAACACUGAGUUUUGCCAUGAUACAAAGAACUGUAAACUCAAAUCAAAGAUAUGGGCCGAUAACGAGAUCAAGAUAGUAAAUUUACAAAGGAUCUAAUCAAAAUUACAAAACUUGAGGCAAAUGAACACAACCCAGAUAAUAUAUAUUAUAAACUUAAAAUUUAAGAAAACAACCGAUACUACUCAUAAAUGUAUACUAUAUAUCACAAAUUCCACACUUAAAUAUAAACAAAAUUGAAACUUGUUACAAUAUCAGGGUGUGACAUUUGCUUAAAUAAGUUUGAGAAUGAUUUUUAUUAGGGGAAUUUCAUCAAAUAGGGGUUGUGCAUGUCUACGAAAAGCAACUACAAAAAUAAAAAGAUACAAUAAAAACAAUUAUUAAAAGCAAAUAAAUCUCGCAUGACCCAGCACCUAUUAAUUUAUUCUAAUCAAAAGCUCCAUCACAUUAUGAACAAAAAGGAAGAAAAUGAAAAAUUGCAUUUAAUAGAGUAAAAGAGAACUAAAAAAUGAUCAACAUGUAAAAUAAAACGCACCACUAACAAUGGCGUAUGAGAGUGGUUGCUGUCAGAAUCGAGUUAAUUAGAACUGCCACAGUCGGAAUCGUGUUGAUGAGAAUGGGCAUUUAGGGUUGUUUUAUGAAAAAAAUCGAUUUGAAAUUAAGUUUACAAAUGAAAAUGAUAAAAUUGAAAUUGAAUAAUAUAUAAGGCUAAUUUAGUAAUUUAAUAUACAGCUAGGAAAAGAAUUCUCUUGAGCUGCCAAAGCCCAGCUACCACAUCACACUCUCAAACACACCCUUAGAGUACUUUAGUGGGCUUCACUCAUUUGUUUUUUAUUAUUUUGUUGCUAUUCUUAGUGGGCUUAAUAGUAAAAUUGCUUUAUUAUCUAAUAUAUAAACUUCAUACAUUAGUUGUACGGGGGCCAAUAUAGUCCUUUUACAAUAAUUUUUCAUAUUUUAUUUAGAAACCUUGAAAUUUUUUAAAAUUUUGUAAGGACCAUGUACCCUCUUAUCUUAUAUAGCCUCUACCCCGACUAUUUUUCUCCCCAUUAGUUAGUAGAUGUUAGCCAAUUUACUUAUUUAUUGUAAUCGAUAGAAUGUAUGUACAUUGCUACAAAUAAUAGCACAACAAUUUAUUGUAAUAGAUAGAAUGUAUAUAUAUUGCUACAUAUAAUAGCACAACAUAGAACUAAAUUACCAAACCAAUCCCACAUUAGCAUUCAAGUCAUCCAACAAGUACUACUAGAAAAAUUGUCUUUACUGACAUUAGAAUAGUGUCACUAAUUACUUUCAGUGACACUUGUUAAUUGUGUCAGUAAUCUGGCAGUUAGAAAAAUAGUGACACUUGUAAGUGGUGUUAGUAAUUAUUGUUACUAUAGUAUUACCAAAAUCAUGACACCAUAGUAUUAGAAUAUUAUAAUACUGUAUCAGUGUUUGUGAUUACUGUUACUAUGGUAUCAAUAUUUGAUUUACUAUUUAAAAAUAUAUAUAUAAUGACAUGUUACCCAUUGAUUUGUUGAUAAAAUUAAAAGGUAGUACGAAAUAACAAAAACAAACUCAAUUUAUAUUGAAAAUCUUUCAUUAUAUAUUCAAAUAUUAUUAGUACAUAUAACACAUUCUAAAGACUUCAAUAAACAAGACAUUUUGUUCGUAAUAGAAUAAUCUAUACAUGAAAAUUUCUAUCAUCCAAUUAAAUUAUUUCUAUUUGUAGCUGAAUUUAUGGGCUAAAUUUAACAAAUCUGGAAGCUAAAUUGAGAAGUAUUAUUGCCUUUCACUCUUCUAAACAUAUGUAGUGCGAUUGUGCUUUAUCACACCAACGGCAUCUUCAUUCAGCAGACCGGAUAGAUUAAGAUACAUGGAAAGUUGAGGAAGAAACUCUUUAAGCACAUUAUCGAUAUCUGCAAAGGAAUGCAAGGAAAAUUAAAGAAAAUGGUUCCCAAUUUCCAACCGCAACAAUAAUUAACAAGCAAUAAAAAACAGCAAUUAACCAAAAAAGAAAAAAAAAUUGUUCCAAAAGCAAAAAUAUUCAUAAGCUAGUCGCAAAUAAACAAGUUUUCAAUGUAACAUCUAGUUUCAACACAAGCAUGUUGCUUUAUCUACAUAUAUCAAUUGACUUUAUUGGCUAGUUAAAAGUUAUCACAAAUGCUCUGUUAUAAACUAAUCAACAAUCACUUCCUUAAUCUAAUUUAUUCAAUCUUAAAGCUUUGUUAACAAGAAGGCAAAAAUAUAGCAGACCUUAUUGCACAUUCAAUUUGUAUAAUAGACCGCAUUGCACUUCUCUAAGACAUUGACUAUAAUGAUGAUAAAUGAAAUAAUAAGAGCACAUGAGUGACAGUUGACAUAUAAACAAAAUAACAAAAGGUACUACAUAUCUUUUAUAAAGGAAGCCAAGUUCAGAAAGUUAACAAAUGAACUGAUCAAAAUCAAAGCCCGUCCUUUGAAAUACGAAUAGCAUAAAAGUGCCCUCCCAUCAGGUUCUCAUGUCAUGAAAUAAAUAAUGAUUAUGAGAUUCUCAAACAUUUAUCUAAAAAUAAAGUAAAACAUAAACAAAUCAAUCACAAUCAACAGUUGCAUUUAGUAAUAAAAUUGACUAUAUAAAAGAAAAUACUAUUAAAAAGCUUUUUAUAGCAUCAACAUUAACUUUUUGAUAACAUCUGCAUAUAGCCAUUUUUUAUUUCGUGAUUAGCCAUUUUUUCUUCAAAACUAGUCUUUGUUUCGUAUUGCUUCUUGCCAUAAAUAAUCUUUCUCAAGAGGAAAUUUCCAACCAUUUUGACAAAAGAGCAUGAUUUUUGUUAUCCAAAUUACUAAUUCCUAACCCCUACCACCCCCCCCCCCCUUUUCUUUUGCCAAAGUAACAGUGGCCACUUAUCUAGGUAAGAACCAUUAACAUCAUCAAACCAUUCCCACAAAUAGUCUCUCUUCAAUCUUUCUAGUCUUUUAGCUACCCCACAAAGAAUUUUGAAUAACAGAAACAGAUCUUCAAGCAUAUAAACAUGCAGAAAUAAUAGUUAAUAAGCAGCACACAUAUACAAAUGAUAACUCAAAGGAAAUAAUUUCUAAAUAACUAUUUGUGAAAAAUGUAAACUUAUGUUGCACUAAAAGGUUACAUGUCAUUUCUUGAACUGUUGAAGGUACACGAGGCAAUUGCCCUGCAUUGUAAUAAGAAAGGAAGCAAGUAAAGGACAAGGAUGAGUUAUAUGGCUGAUAACUUUACACACACAUUGCUACUAAAUCUUAAGAGUCACAAAUCUCAAAGCAUGGAACUACAUUGUGAUAAGACUAUAGAGAGAGGCCUAAUUCAUACCUAAAUACUCAAUAAAUAAAGAAAGAAAUGAAUUCCAUCACCUGCAGAUGCUAGGGAAAUAUGUGUAAGCCUACCAAUGACAACUGUUGCCAGCUAAAAGCUAACGAGAUCCAACCAAUCAAAGCAUAGGUUCUCCAUUAGAGAUAAAAUUUAUGUUAGCUAGUCACGCCCAUGGGUAGCACAGUAGGACGUGUAGUUCAAUGUUCCCUUCUUACCCAACUGAUAGACACAAAACACAAGAAAAAUAACCACACACAAUAGCCAAACAACACAACAAUGGUUCUCAGUUUCCAUAGAAAUCCAUUAAAUAAAAAUUAAAAUGAACAACUUUCCCAAACAAUACUAAAAGUUAUAGGUGAAUGAAGUAAAAUUGAAAAAAAUGAUAAAAUUUAUGUGAUGAAAUAACUAAAUUUCUGCGAUGAAAUAAUUCUUCUCUUAGAUGAAAAAAAUUCUAGUUUUAUUAACUAGUCAAUAGGAGAUUGUACAUAUUUAGAAAAAAGGCUGGAGGCAAACCUGGAACAACAACACCAGGUAGUAUGACUGCAGCUAGUGGUGCCAUAUCAAAGCCACUGCUCCGCUUGCUGCAUAUAAAAUAGAAAACGUAAAAGAAAUAAUGAACAAAGACAUAAACGCCAUACUUAUCCUAAUUUUAUCUGUUCACAGAAUGAAGAUAACAUAUCUCAAAAGUUGAACAUGUAAAGCCUUUCCCCAUAUAAUAAUUAACAAGGAACUUUCACAGUUUCACCACCUCAAUGAGCACAUUUAAAUUAAUUUGUUCUAUACCUUUUGGAAAGAGCACGAAAAGGAAAGAUUGAUUUAGGUCGAUUCCUCAAUCUAUCACUUGAAUGGAAACACGAUCUAUGUCUAUGCCUUCUUUCUUUGUCUCUAUUAUACUCACGGUACCUACCAAAAAAAAAGUGAUUAAUUUCAAUUAUUGAGCAUCAAAGAUGCAUUUCACACUUGUAAAUAAAGUUUAGGGUUUUUUUUUCUAAUUUAUUUGGUUCUUUCAUCAAUCAUUUAAUCGAUUUUCUAUAGAUCUGAUCUAAAAAUAUAAAAAUCAAGAAAUUAAUCACUCUUUUUUUCAUAAUAAAAAAAUUAAAUUACAACCUAAUUCCCUCAUUUUCUACAAUUCACGAAAUAAAGAGAUAACACAUGUCAAAAAAAUUCAAAUCUAAUAUGAAAAUAGCCAUUUAUCGCACAUACCUCGCUUCUUAUCUUUUAUCUUUAUUAUGAAUGAAAAGAACAACGGCUGAUGGUCGCCUGGACGAUGAUGACAAGCAACGAUGAGAGGCGAUACCGCCACGCCAAAUGAGAGGCGAUACCGCCACGCCAAAUGAGAGACAACGAUCAUGAAGACUGGAUGACGUUCACAAGGGGAGGUAAAGUGAUGACUGCGAAGACUAGAUGACGGCAAUUUGGGCAAGGCAGUGAGAAAGGAGAUCGUGUUUUGAGAGUUAGAAAAUUAGGGUUCUUUCAUUUCUACUUACAAGUUCUUUUUCUAAUUGGUUUUUUGUGUUUAUAUACAUGUUUUUUUGGCUAAUACCUUAAAAAACAGUUACAAUGGUUUUUUUCUUAAAUUUAAAAGCUUGACUGUUGGAAGUCUUGGAUUCGAGUUGUUGUGGAACAAGAUUAGAAUUAUUAUAUUUUUUCAACUGAUACUUUGGUGUCAGAGAUCUCUGAUGUCUAACUUACAGACACCAUCGUAUCAGUAAUUUGUGAUACUUAAAUGUUAAACACAGAAAAUGGUCCACAUGUAUGUAAAUACUGAUACUUUUAAAAAAAGUGUCACGAGUUAAGUAUCAGUAAAGACCAUUUUUCUAGUAGUGAAGAACACAGUGAUAGCAAUGCAACUGUAUAUAUUUUAUGUUUCUGUCGUCAUUUUGUAUUCUAAAGAGUGGUGUUAUUGGUACCCCUAAAUUAAUCUUAUAAAACCCCUCACCUAUGCAAUUACUAUAAAGGAUAAAAUUAUCUAACCAAACCCUCUUCGUUCCCUAUUCCACUUCCUUUCUCUCUUUCGCUCUCUGUUACAAUCUAGUUUAUUUCUAUUUGAAUUGGGGAAGAAUAAGUUAGUUUAUUCUAUUUGAAUUAGUAUAAGUUAACUCAACGAUGGUUAGUAAAGUAGCUACGUUUUUAGCCACUCUGCUAUUUUUUCUACUUAUUUAUUCCUAGUUUUACUCAUGGUAGUUGUAAUGCACUUGUAUAUAAGUGCCCUUUGUCAUGAAUAAAGAUCGAACAAAUUUAUUCACUCAGUAUUGAGUAGUGGGAGACGCUAAACCCUCGAAGAGUUAGCAAAUUGUGCUUGUAUCUUUAAUUUUCCUUAAGCAAACAAUUGUGUGUGUAACAUUCAGAGCUCAAGCAUGGAGCUAUCAGAGAGGGUUGAGAAAUUAAAAAAAAAAAAAACAAAAUAGAGGAGAUUGUUGCUGACCACAAACAUCUUUAUGCUAUAUCACAAAGAGACUAGAGAAGAUAAGUCAACAAGUUUCUGGCAAAAACACUUAUCAAAUGGUAGAGAAUUCAGCUCAAACUCAAAGAAAGGUAGAAGGAGAUCCCAAUAUUCAUCACUAAUCAAGGCCACGAGUUUAUUGAGCGUUAUCAUUCUAAAGACUAUUAAGCUUGAUUUUCCUCGUUGUGAUGGAAAAGGUGACUCCACCACUUGGCUGUGUAGAGUUGGAAGUAUUUUUCCCUCCACGACAUUGCAGAAUCAGACAAGGUGACGUUGGCUUCAUUCUAUCUGGAGGGCGAAGCUCAGCUAGGAUUUCAAAUGCUGAAGCAAGAAAUGUUUUAUAACAAUUGGGAGGAUUUCAAGAAUAAGAUAUUUUCUCGAUUUGGCCCUAACCAAUUCAAACAUUUUGGUGAAUUAAUUAAGCUAUGGAAAAUCGGUACAGUGGUGGAAUAUCAUGCCAAUUUGAUAAAUUGUUAGCAAAAGUUGGGCAUUUAUCAUAAAACUGGAAGGAAAGUUGUUUUUUAACUCGACUUCGAGAUAGUUUUUGAAUUGAUGUGCAAGCUAAUAGGACAACAUCCUUAACCAUGACCAUUGGUUUAGCUAGAUUGUUUGAGGCUUGUAAUUAAGAUCAAAAGAAACCUACUACCCAGUUCUCACGACUAAUAAAUCAAGAAAAAUUUCAGACUGGUGGCCAAAUGGCUUCGACAAUAGUCGAAAGGAUGACAUCUGAGGAAUUAUCUGAAAGAAGAAAAAAGGGAUUAUGCUUUCAUUAUAAUGACAAAUUUGGCCUAGGAUAUUUUUACGGAAAACUGUUUAUGAUUGAAGUUUAUUGAGAGGAAUCAGAUGGAGACGAGGUGAUAGAAGUUAAAGAAAGAACUAACAAACCUGAAAUUUCAUUCCAUGUCGUGGCUAGUUUUCAAUCACCACAACAAUGAGAGGAAUCAGAUGGAGACGAGGUGAUGGAAGUUAAAGAAAGAACUAACGAACUUGAAAUUUCAUCCCAUGUCAUGGAUGGUUUUCAAUCACCACAAUAAUGAGGAUGUGGGAGGGCUAAAAGAGCAUUUUAUGAUAGCUAUGGUUGAUUCCAAUAGCACACACAACUUCAUCAGUUCGAAAUGGCUCAACGUGCAAAUCUCUAACCAACUACCUAUGGCAAAAUAAAUAUAAUUGUAGCUUCAUGUGAAAGACUAGUAAGCCCAGGGAAGUGUUCGCUAUUUUCUGGUGGAAGUUUUUUUUAUUUUGCCUUUUCAAGGAUAUGACAUUGUUCUUGGUACUCAGUGGCUGAGAUCCUUAAGGCAUAUCCAAUAGGACCUUGAAAAACUACGAGUGAUGUUUGCUUGGAGACCAAAAGAAGUAGUUUUACGUGGCUUACUGGCUUAUCAUAGAGCGUUAGUGAUAUUAUUCUUGUAACAAAAAUUACAAGAAGACAAAAAAGGGUUGUCAUCCAUAUUAUGCAAGGGAAAGAUGUGAAGGAUGAAAAAGUCUUUACUUUAACAUAAGUUCAACAACUUUUACAAGUGUACCAAGAAAUUUGAAUGAACCUAUUGGCCUCCCUCCUCGACGAAUCAAUGAUCAUCAAGUUUCAUUUUUAUCAAGAUGAGGACCAAUUGCAGUAAGUCCAUACAGGUAUCCUUAUUUUUAAAAGAAUGAAAUCGAGAAAAAUUGUCAAAGAUUUAUUGGUUGCUCAUACUAUUCACGCCAAUACCAGUCCGUAUUCCUCUUCUGUCUCAUUAGUUAAAAAGCAUAAUGGUUCAUAGACGAUGUGCAUCGACUGCCGAGCAUUGAAUCAAAUUACAGUUAAAGACAAAUUCCCAAUUUCCGUGAUCGAUGAACUCUUAGUUGAAUUAGCCGAAGCUUAAUUUUUUUACAAAAAUAGGUUUAUGCUCAGGCAACCAUCAAGUCAGAAUGCUCCUAGAAGAUGUCAAGAAAACUGCAUUUUGAGCACGCCAUUAUGAAUUUUUGGUAAUGUUGUUUGGGCUUUACUAAUUCUUUAUCCACAUUCCAAGCACUUAUAAAUGAGGUAUUCAAAGAAUUAUUACGAAAAUUUGUACUUUUUUUUAACGAUAUACUCAUUUAUAUUAAGGAUUGGGAUACGCAUAUCGAGCAUUUGAGAAUUGUUUUUAGGGAAAUUUACAACCGUCCACCUGUUUGUUUUGUCUUUUUCAAAAAUACACAAACACUUUUUUUUUUUCAGCGCGCCACCUGAAGUUCACUUUUUGUUGCAUUCUUCCACUUCCGUCUAAUUUCCGUUAGUAAAUUUAACGGAAUGCCCUUUUUACCCCUCAAAAUUACAAUUUAACCCAAAAUAAAUAGAAAUUGGAGAUAAAUUGGAUGGAUUAAAUUUUUUUUCAAAGGUGGAUGCUAGAAAUUGGAGGAAAAUAAUGUUUGUUGCUUGCUAAAUUUAGAAAAUUUGUAUUUAUUUUUUUGGAGGAAAAUAGUGUUUGUUACUUGCUAGAUUUAGAAAAUUUGUAUUUAUUUUUUCUCUUUCAAAAAAAUAAAUACAAAUUUUCUAAAUUUAGCAAGCAACAAACACUAUUUUCCUCCAAUUUCUAGCAUCCACCUUUGAAAAAAUUUAAAUACAUCCAAUUUAUCUCUAAUUUCCAUUUAUUUUGGGUUAAAUUGUAAUUUUGAGGGGUAAAAAGGUCAUUUCGUUAACAUUCCGUUAAAUCCACUAACGGAAAUUAGACGGAAGUGGAAAAAUGUAACAAAAAGCAAACUUCAGGUGGCGCACUGAAAAAAAAAAAAAGUGUUUGUGUAUUUUUGAAAAAGGCAAAACAAACAGAUGGACGAGUGUAAAUUUCCCUUGUUUUUAACAUCCCAAAAGCUAACGAGUUAAGAGUGAAGCUUGAAAAUGCUGAUUUGGGAAUAAAGAAGUAUUGUAUUUUGGCCAUUUUAUUUUAAAGCAUGGAGUUGUUAUUGACCCCAGCAAAAUUAAAGCAAUGAUGUCGUGGCCGCAGCCAAGUACUUGUAAAGCCUUACAUGAGUUUCUUGGACUCACAUGUUACUACUAUAAAUUCAGUCACUAUGGGAAAAUUACUGCUCUUCUAACCAAUAUGUUGAAGAAAGAGUCUUUUGAAUAGAGUUUGGCUUAGAGAAGGCUUUUCAAAAGCUCAAGGUAGCCAUGACACAAGCCCUGGCGUUACUUUUCCUGACUUUUCAAAAACAUUUAUAGUUGAAUGUGAUACUUCUAGGGUUAGAUUGGUGCAAUUUUAUUACAAAAGAGACUUAUAGCAUAUUUCAACCAAAGCACUUUGAGGGAAACAUCUUGUUCUUUCUACAUAUAAUAAGGACAUACUUGCAUUAGCUUUAAGACAGAAAUAAAGGCCAUACUAACUAGGUAAACAAUUCAUUGUCAGGACUAAUUAAUAAAGGCCAUACUAACUAGGUAAACAAUUCAUUGUCAGGACUAAUUAAUCAUCAGAGUCUUAAACAUCUGCGGUCCCAAAAUUCCACCACUAUAGCUCAAUAAAAAAGGUUUUACAAAUUCAUAGGAUAUGAUAUUAAAGUGGAGUACAAGAAAGGUAGAGAGAAUGUUGUGGCUAACGCUCUAUCCCAAAGUCAUGGGCAACCACAAGGUGCUAUAUUUGUUAUUUCCUAGUUGUGACCACAAUGGCUUAAAGUGAUUAAGGAAGAGGUUGUUGUCAAACCAAUAUUACAAGCCUUGUAAAAAAAAUCCAGCAAGGGGAAGCAUUGGGGCCGUGAAAGCUAAAUAAUGGAACUAUAUUUUUUAAAGAUCGUAUUUAUCUAUUGGAAGACUCUGAACAUGUGAUAACCAUUAUCAAAGAAUUUCAUAGAAGCACCUACGAAAGCCAUUUGAAAUCUUUAUAACGCAUCAAGGCAAAUUUUUAUUAGAAGAACAUGAGGAAGCAGAUUAAAGCAUUUAUGCAUAGCUUAGACAUUUGCCAAUGCCACAAAACAGAGCAAUCGGCUUCUGCUGGGUUAUUACAUCCCCUGCCAAUUUCGCAAUAAGUUUGGGAAGAUAUUGCCAUGAACUUCAUUGAAAAGGUUGCCACUAUCCAACAGUAAGACAACAGUCUUUGUAGUUAUUGACACGUUAUCUAAAUAUGCUCACUUUAUUCCUCUAACUCAUCCUUAUACUGUAAUGGGAGUAGCCAAAUUGUUCUUUCAAAAUGUUUUUAAGCUUUAUGGUCUUCUGAGGUCAAUUGUAUGUGAUUGGGAUACAACAUUCACUACUGCCUUUUGAAGGGAGUGUUUCGGUUAAAUGGGACUUCUUUAAGUUUUAGCUCCAAUUAUCAUCCUCGAACUAAUAAGCAAAGUGACAUUGUGAAUAGAACUUUAAAAAUGUACUCAAGAUGCUUCAAAACCUAAAGAUUGGAUGUGUUGGCUCCUGUAGUCUAAAUAUUGUUACAAUACCAGUUGGCAUUCAACAAUAAAAAGGACUACUUUUAACAUUGUUUAUGGUAGGAGCGUUCCUAGAUUGCUAAGUUACAUUCCUGUUACAAUUCGAGAGGAGGCAGUGGAAAAAGAAUUACUACGGAGAGAUAAAGUUCUUAAGAUAGUACAUGAAUGUAUACAACGUGCUCAGUUUCAAAAUAUAGGGUAAAGAAUUUAAUGUGGGGGAUUAGGUGUACUUCGAUCCUAUUUAGGAUUGAGGUGCUAUAAUUUUUAAACUACAUCUGUUAUAAAAAAAAAUUAUAACUAUGAAAUAAAAGUUAAUAAUAUGUAAUAAAUAUAAAUUUUAAAUAAUAAUUUUGAUAAAACUAUUAAAGAUAUAAUAGAGUUUUCAUCGUACAAGUGAAAAAUUAUGUCAAUAUAGCUUCCAAGUUAUAGUAGUUAAUAUUUACCAAAUAUUUUAGUAUUGUACAUUUUAAGCUACAGGUGACCAAUAUCAAUCUCAAACGCACCCUUAAACUUACAACCUUACUGACAUAUGUCUUUUAUUAGAAGAAAAAAAUUUAAGCUUUCAACUCAAUUUUAUGGCCCAUAUUAGAUCCUGGAAAGGAUUGGAAAGGUAGCAUAUUAGCUUAAGCUUCCAACUUCAUCCAAGUUACAUCCAAUAUUUCGUGUUUCUAUGCUUAAAGCAAGGAUUGGAUUGGUCAAGAGUGUGAGGUACUUGAAGAUCUUCUUGACUUAAAUCAAGAAGAAGAGUUAAUCACAACUCCACAAGCGUUAUUGGGCCAACGAAUUCGAAAGGGGAAAAAAGAAGUUUUAGUUCAUUGGAAAGGUUUGUCACCAACAGAGGCUACGUGGGAAGUCCGUGAAUUGAUUCAGGAGCGUUAUCCAAACUUCAUUCUUGAGGACAAGGAUGUUUCUUAAGGGGGUGUGAGCUGUUCCAAUCUAGUUCAUUUCUAUUUGAAUUAGUCAAGAAUAAGUCAGUUUAUUAUAUUUGAAUUAGUCAAGUCAAAGAUGGUUAGUAAAGUAGCCCUUAUUGUUAGCUAUUUGCUGAUUUUUCUACUUAUUUGAUCCUAGUUUUGCUCAGGAUAGUUGUAAUGCAAUUGUAUAUAAACACCCUUUGUCAUGAACAAAGAUCGUCGAACAAGUUUAUUCACCCAGUAUUGAGUAGUGGGAGGCGAUAACCCCUUGAAGAGUUAAGCAUAUUGUGCUUGUACUUUUACUUUUCCUUGAGCAAAUACUUGUGUUUAUAACGUUCUCUCUCUCAAAUGCUUUACAACUAACACAGCUAAACUUUUGAUACACCUAAACAGCCAUACCCACAUUUCAUUCUCAUUCUACUCUUUUAUUUGUAUUCUUAAGGUCAACAGAUUAAUACAAUGAUUAUUGAAUUUGGAUCUAACAAUAAUUUUUUUUUUAAAGAAAAUUACUCUAUAAGAUUAUGCAAAAGUGCAGCUGUGCAAGCAAUGUCUUGCAAACAUCCAGAAAAAUUGAGUCUUGUGAAAAAAUUGUUUGGAUAAAUCAGUAGUUAUGAAUUCAUUUUGGUCUUCGUUAAAAAAUAAUAAUAAUAACCCAAAGGAUAGCAAAUAAGGUUAAGAGCCAAAUAUUGUAACCUGGAGACUAGUUUUAAUCACUAGAUUUUUUUCUUUUUAGUUUUAAUCCCUGAUUUAAAAUUAUUGGAUUGAAAUAAAUUAUUAGUAUUUAAAUAUUUUAUCACUAAGAAAACUAAGAACAACAUGUAAGAAGGUGGUUGGAGACUCCAUGACAAAAAUCAAGAAAAUUAUGCUUCAUAAAAAUUUGGAGAGAGAAAUUUUGGAAAUUAAAAAGAGUAUUAAUAGUUGUUUUAAGUGGAUUUUAGGUUGCAAAUAAAUGGGACAAAACCUUGCCAAAAUAAUGAAUUUAUUUUUUGGGGAGUAGGGUACCUUACUUAACCGUGGUGUAAAGGCUAUUUUGGGUUUCAAAGGAGGUGAAAAAGAGUGGAAGAGGGUCGAUAAUGAUGAGAGGUCAGAUAUGAAACGUGGGAGCCUUGAAAUGGUGCUUUUAAACCUAUAAAACAAGGAAAUGAGGUUAGAGGUGGAGUCGGCGGUGGCCGGCGACCACACUUCGACGCUCAAAUUAGCUACUUGAACUUUUUCUAGGUGAUGAGAGCUUAAAAAUGGUGGCUGUAAGUUGAAAAAGACCUCAACCCCGGUGUAUUUGUGAUGAGUAUUAGAGAAGAUGAGUGUGAAAGAGUACAAGAGUAAUAAAACAUUUUUUGGCAUUUAUAUAGUAUAGCCUGGAUACCUUGCCAUGUGGCACAUUUUUAUUGGAGAUUUUAUUAUCCUUUCUGAAAUUCUCACGUCCUUUUAUCACUAUGGUGGUUUUUGAAUCAUUAGGAGCAUGUUUCGAGGGCAAGGAGGCAGUUUUUGGUGGAUUUUGUUGUUUUGUGUAGGUGGCGCACGCUGCAAGUGGUCCAAGGUUCCUUUGCAGAGGCUAUUUGUACAGUGGUAAGCGUGAUAGAUAAAGACCAUUGUCCUUUGUGUGAUGCUUUUGGUUUUUUGCAAUAUUUCAAUCGGUUGUUUCCUCUUUUCUAACAAAAUAUUCUUGAUUUAAUUUUAUCAAAUCAAAUAUUCUAUUGAGACAUCACGUGUGAUGGUCAUUUUUGGAUAUUUCCUUCAAUUCACUUACUAUGUCAUGGCGUACCCCGCGUAUCAGUUUAUCUGGAGAGUAUACUCCGUACAGGUUGGGUAUCCUAUGAGGGUUACUUUCAGUCACCAAAACCUUCUCGUCAACACGUGACACUUCAUUUUCAAUAUUCUAUUUAUUCGCCAAACAAUAACAAUAACAUAUUUGUUAGUAUUAUGUAAUUGGGUUUAAAGGGUGUCGGUAGUCUAACUCUAUUUUAAAACCCAAAUCAUAUCGUCCUAACUUAUAUCAACCCAUAAGUAACUUAUAUUAACCAAAUACCUAAAGGAUGUUGAAAAAUUACUUAUAGAUUGAUGUAAGUUACAUAUGUUGCAAUUUAGUUGCUAACUCAACCUUUUACUCAGGUGCCAGGAUUUCUUGCAUAAACUUUUCAAACGAGUAAAAGUUUAUCCAAUAAGUCCAAGGUUUAUGUCUACUAAUGACUCAAGCUUUCCUCGUGGUAGCAUAUGAUUCAAGUUGCAAGGCUAAGGAUAAAUCAAUAUAUGGUGCAUUCACCUUCGAGAUUAGGAAAUCAAAAUCUGAAAUCAAAACUAUUGAUAGCGUUUACUUUGUAAAAUAGAGUCGGGAAUGAGAAUCGAAAUCGAAAUCGUAGAGCCUACCCCAAUUUGAGAAUGUUUACCUCGCAAAAUAGAGUCGAGAAUCAGAAUCGAAAUCGAAAUCGGCAUCAUGGGGCUCACCCCAAUUUGAAAAUAAGGAAUAAGAGGUUGAUUCCUAAAGGAAUGGUUGGAAUGAGCCUCUCAUUCCCAAAAAUGAUAAUUUGGCCCUCCACAAAAUAAAAAAUAACCAUUUUGUCCUCAAUUAUAAUUAAUUAAUACAUUAUUAUUAAAUAAUUAAUAUAUUAUUAACAAUAAUUAAUAAUAAUAAUAAUUUUUGAACAAAUAAUCACAAUAAUUAAUGUAUUAUUAUUAUUAAUUGAUAUAUUAAUCUAUUAUCAGCAAUUAAUUAAUUGAAAUUUUUUACAAUUAAUUAAUAUAUUAAUAUAUUAUUAAUUAUUAUUAUUAUUAUUAAUUUUCGAAUAAAUAAUCACAUUGAUUAACAUAUUAUCAUAGUUAAUUAAUUAAUAUUCUAUUAAUAUAAUUAAUAAUUAUUAUUAUUAUAAUUAAUUAAUAUAAUAAUAAUAAUUUCUCAUUCCUAUCCAUUCAUUUCAAUUUAGUAAAUGCACCAUUAUAUGAUUUUAUACUCUAUUGCUCAUUUAGCACGCGUAGUCUUUCACUCAAAAUAGCAAGAUGAUUAUAACCAGAACAUGGAUAACGCAUGUUUACUCCAGAACAAUUGUUAUUAGCCAUAGAGCCACCAGAAUGACAUUCAACAAAUCAAUUUAACAAACAUUUGCAAUUCCCGAAUUAUUUCCAAUUAGACAAUGAAUGAAUGUUUACUAAUUGCUACUGCAGAAUAGAAGAAUAUAAGUUUAAAGCUUCUGAGAUUCAGACAACAAGAAACAUAUAAUAAUACAGUAUAAGCUAAUGCAUCAAACAUCAAAAGAUGAGAGCAUCAAUCCAUUCAAGUAUAAUUGCAAUUUAUCCAUUAGAUAGUACCAUUAAGACAAUGAAUCCGUCUCCUAAAACAUAUAACUCCAAGUCUAACAUUGAAGAAAAUACUUCCACCUAGUCGAUAGAGACAGAAAAUGCAGGAAGGAGAAACAAAAGUCUACACAUUUCCCAAAUCCACUCAUCUUCCUCCCACACAUUCUCAUCCAUGACUCAAAAGAGCUAAAGAGACUACAAUUCAACAACAAAUCCAGAAAAGAUAAACAAAAUAUUGUCUUGAAAACAAAAUUUAAAAACCAACAAUCAGAUUACUGUGAGACGCCCAACCAUUUUGAGAAGUUCUCAAACUCAGUAUAAUCACUGUCUGAGAUCAUCGUCUGGUACCAUGCCUUGCCUGCAGCCUUGAUCGCAGCGGCCUCCUCCUGACAGGAUUGAAGAUGGAAAGGUAAACAUUAGAUUCAUUAAUCAAAACAAACGAAUAAAUUUGACGUAGAAGUAAUAAAUCAGCUACUUAAUGCUUUUAAGAGAGUACUACUUUCUAACAUAAGUAAUGUACCCAGCAUUGUCCCCUUACAAUCCAUGGAAGGUACCUGAUAUAUUAACUGCAUCUAAUAAUCUCUAUUUUAUCAAAAUAGUUUUGUGCUUAAAAUACUGCUCCAUAUUUCUAAUUAUAUUUUGCAUCAUAAAGGUAUCUCAAAAUCAAAUUUGACACCAAUACACACAAAUUAUGAUAGACAAAUUAAGUAAUAAAUUGGACAAAUUAUAUUACAUGUUUUAAAAGAUCUUAAUUGUAAUUGUAAAUGGUUAAAAGUUAAACCCUAACCCCAUAACAAAUAUAUAAAACCUAAACAAAACAACUUAAUGAAGAGUUGAAGGCGGCACACAAGCAACCAGUACUCGCAUAUAAAAUGGUUACAGCCCUGCUGCAGCAGUUACACCUUUUACAUCAAAGAAGACGAUCACUCUCUCUGAGUACAGCUUUUGCUAAUCCGCAGUAUUCUUAUAAGCCAUAAAUCAAUAUUCAAUAUACUUUUAUCAUAGAAUAACUUCAAGACAAAUACAACAUGAAACAGAUCAUCUUCACAAACACAACCAAAAAAAGGAAAAAAAGAGUAUCUUACAACUGGAAAACAAAUCACCAAAGGCAGCAACAAUUAAUCACAUAUAUAUUUAAAUAAACAAUAUUAAUUAGUUAAAAGAAUAAGACAUUGUACCUUAGUGAUGGGCUUCCUUUUCUUGUCGAGCUUCUCCUUCUUAGCUUUAACCCGUUGUGCCUCAGCCAAAAGAGACAUCCUCCGAGCAGUCUUAGCAUAUGGGUUCAACCGCAACAGAGUAUUCAAGUUCUUGAGAGGAUUUUUCUUCAUCGGAGCCCUCUUAACCUCCGUCUUUAUCGGCCUUACAACAGACUGCACCUCAUCCGAGUUAAUAAUCCUAGCCAAAUCAGCGUUGACCAUCUUAGCACGAGGCAGCACAUAACCCUUCUUCUUCUCGGAACCCUUAUCAAACUUACCAUAAAUCUCAUCAAGCUUCUCAAAAGCCGAUUUAGUCCAAACAAUAAACCGCCCAAGAUGGCCACCCGGCGCCAGCUUCAACAAGUUCAAUCUCUCAACAUUCACAACCUCGACACCGGGAAUGUUCCUAAAGGCCUUGACAAGCUUAGCACCCUCAGCUGAGUACACAACAAGCGGGCCCUUGCGAGAAAUGUAGCGCCUAUUUCUCAUUUUCCCCUUCCCAGGGCGAAUCCCCUGGCUGUCCUUCGCCUUCUCGGCAUCAGCAUAUGCACCGAUCUGCUUCAGAACUUUAAGAGCAGCUGAUGUUUUCUCAACACUCUCGGCGGAAUCACUGACGACCAGGGGCAUUUCCGGAACAGUCUCGAUCUUGUGACCGCGGGCCAUCACAAGUGAGGGGACAGCGGAGGCGGCGAUGGCGGAAACGAUGGCGUAUCGCUUCUGGUUGACGUUGAUCUUACGGUG